rnacentral:lncRNA from 1 species
GCCGGGAGCGCCUGCCCCGGCAUCGGCGGCACGCUGUACCGCGCGCACGGGGCCAGCUGGCUCAGCUGCGCCCCGCAGGUGCCGCGCGGCGGCUGCGCCUUGGCCGCGCCGCCCAGGGUCACCAGCAGCAGGACCAGGAGGGCCGCCUGGCCCGUGGUCGCCGCCAUCGUCGUCGUCGCCGGCGGCUCGGUGCGCGCGCUGCGAGCUUGAGAGACGGAAAUGAGUUCCUGUGUGUGUGGUUGGCGGUGUGGUGGUGGUGCGGGAGCGCGUGGUUUUAUAGGUGGGGCGACGGAGGUGGGAGGCGGCGAGUCUUGCGUUGCUCACCUACGCUACGCAGGCAGCGGGCGGUGCUCGGAUCGGCGCCGGGCGGGAGGAGCGGGCCACGGCAAGCGUGUGAGGCACUGAGGCUGACCCGACCCAACUAAUAAGCCCAGCUCGGAGACCCGCUUCGUCCGUUUGAUCAUCGGGACAAAAAAACUUGGUUCAACGUAGAGACAUGUUUGGACCGGUGUCCUUUCACUAUCCGCGCCGAUCCAAUCUUUGACGAAUACCAGCAAACAUGUCUGUGUGUUACAGCAGGAGAAAAAAAAAUCAUCCCUAAUAGGCACUGGCCGAUACCAGUAAAUCCCUUGAAAUCUCCACACAACAAACAAUAUGAUAAGUGACGUUGCGUUAAACGUAAUGGUGGAUGAUUUUUGAAGUGUAUUCAAGGUGCUUUAAAAAAAAGUUAUGGACAUAAUUAAAUUUUUUGGAAAUUAACAUUAAGCCACUUGUUUACAUAAAGCUCAAAUCAUCAAUUUAGUGUACAACAUCGUAUAUUGGUUGGUUAUAUUGUGCAUGAUGUGAAAUAGGAUGACCGUGUACCUAUUGUAACCUUUAGCAUACAAAGUAGCUAGUAGAAAUCAACAUCCGCUAUGGUGCCAAUACUAUCUUUUACGAGAGUAUUAAACUAUCGUAUCUAUUCAAGUUAAAUGGAAUAAAAAAAAUAUGUAAUAGGCAUUUUCAAAAUACCCAAUAUAGAGAAGGUAUUAAUCAAGGUUGCAACAUAUAUUUUAUUUUAAAAAUGAGUAACAUGUAAGAUAAGAGUAUAUUUGAAAUCUACAUAUUCUUUUGAACAAUUAUCAUAUAUAACAUGUUAGAUUUGGAAUUAGGGUUUGAAAGAUAUGAAUAUCCUAAAAAGCAUUUGAAUUAGAAAAAAUAGCAUUUGAAUUAGAAAAAAUGAAAAAGGGGUAGCUGUUUUGAUGUGUUUAAUUUGGGACCGCACUGUAUAUAAACCGAAGUAAACGCCCCAUGUAGCAAAUUGAACUGUUUUUUUGUUUAUGAACGAUAUGAUGGGUAAUUUGUGUUAACUUUGGGAUAGUUCUAAUGACGAACUUGGCAGAAACAAUAACCUUUUUAUUAGUACGCAUAGAUGGGCUAGAAUGGGUUUCAAACAAACAGAAACGGACACUCCCGUCGUUUGCUGGUGCUCGCUUGUGUCCACCCUGGUCCCAAAGACCAGCGACCGCACCAGCCGGGGCUUUGCCUCCAUAAUGACGUGCACCGGCGCAUGCCACCUCUCUUUUUGAGUCAGUCGUUGUGUUAGGAUCUUGCCGGCGGGCCCGCGGCGCCGAUGAUUGGCCGAUCGUGGCCGCCAGACGCCACGUCGGGGUCCGACCACACAAGGGGGAGGAGCGGGGCACGACGAUUACCUCGCCAUGGAGGAAGGGGCGGGGCACAUAUAAAGGAUGGACGCGUUGAUGCGGAGGGAGAGGGUCAUGAACUUCGAAAACAUUUUUCUGUGCAAAUAAAUAUUGAAAAGGUACACAAUUUAUGAAAUGCAUGAAUAUUUUAUAAAGUGUGAGCACUUUUAGAAAAUUCUGAAUACUUUGAAAACCAAUCAAUUUUGAUAAAACGAUAACACUUUCUGAAACAUAUAUUUUAAAUCUAGAACAACAAAUUUAAAGUGCGAACAUUCUUUGAAAAUUAAAAAAAUGGUAACAAAAUUUGAAACCUGAGCAAACGUGUAAAGAAAUGUUUUUGACAUCUAAAAAAUAUCACAAGUUUAGAGAAAUGUACAUGGCAUUUCAAAAAAAUGUAUGUAUAAUGUAAAUAAUAUCCGUGUAAUUCUAACAAAUGUUUCUUCCAUUCAAAAAGAUGCAACAUUUCAAGAAUGUUCAAGAGUUUCAAAACAUGUGCUUGUAACAUUUUUAGAAAGAAGUGUAUACAAUGUAAAAAAGUUAGCGUGACGUAAAUAAUGUGUCAUACCCUUAGAAAAUUAUACCCGACAUGUGUUUGAAAUUUUAUAAAUGUGUAACAAUGUAAAAAAAUGUUUGUAUAGUUUUACAAGAUGUCUGUAUAGUUUUAUAAAUGUCUAUCGUCGUUAAGAAAUAAAAAAAUAUAUUUGAAAAAUAUUACUGUGUAUUCAUUUCUUUAAACAUGUAUCUAAAAAGAUAUAAAUAAAGUAUCAAAAAAUAUUUGUGCUAAAAAUUUGCAAUGUGUACUGACAAUAAUUAGACAUGUGUAAAAUAUAUAAUUGGUUACCGUACAGAAACAAAACAAAAGCGAAAAAAAAGAAAACACUAUGAAGAAAAUCAAGAAAGAAACAAAAGAAAUCAAAAGUAUAACGAGAAAGUAAAACCAGAUAAUGCCAGUGAAAAAAUAAAGCAUAACGAACAAAAAAUCAAAGAAAAAAAAGAAAACAAGACCAGCACGAGAGACUGUGCCAAUGGGCUGGCGCAGUUCAGCGAAUACCGGCUAAAUUCUAUCAACGUUUAAAAUAGACCGGGAUCAAGGAUUUUGGUUUGCUGAUUCCAGGAAUUAAGAGUUCAGAGUUUGAUUUAGCUUCGGCCUAUAUAUAUGAAAGGUUUGUUUUGGAUUUUUUUCCUUUUUCUUUUUGCUAUACUCGAGCGGUCUGGUGUUGUGGUGCACGUUGGCUUCUCCUGCCCAGGAAUCACCUCGCCAACAAGAUCCAAAAUGUCCUAAUAAAGAAAAUAAAAUAAAAAGAACAUGUUUCUGUCAAAAUAGGUAGCACUGUUGGGUAAAAAGACGCACGCCUUCGUUGCUCUCGUGAGGCAGGCGAUUGGGGUUUUCGUUGCCUCCCGUCGCAUAGCCGUCGAGCUGCCUUGUCUUCUGUGGCCUUAGGAUCAUGUAGACGCGAUCGAUCUCGGUCCUUGCUGGGGGGGGGGAGGUGUUUCAUUUUUAGAGUUUGUUUGAGUUUUGAUAGGGUUUGUGUCUUGCUCAGAAAGAUGAGGCGGUGCGUGUUUCUUGGAGAUGGAAUAAGUUUUUCCUCAUAUAGCCCCAGAUGAAAUAAGUUUUUCCUCAUAUAGCCCCCACCCGUUCUGAUGAUGCUUCUAGCAUCGCCGGAGGGUGUAUGAAGAUUUAUCUCGGACGGAUCUCAGGAGAUUCAGUCGACGUUUGACUUUGAUGGAUCCGAUCGGAUCCAUUUUUCGUUCGUCUAAGUUGAUGUGUCGGCAGGUUGGAUUUUUGGUGCUUAGUGUUGUUUUCAUACGGGGCGCUCACUAGCAAAGCCAUUGGGCCAGCCCAUGUAAAGCGAACAGUGAUUGAGCUGCCCAAUCUGAUUUUGCGAUUUUUGCACUCAUAUUUUCCCCUGAAUCUAUCAAUCAUUUUUUCAAAUACCACUCAAUUUUUUUCAGAAUCCACAAACUAUUUUUGCAAAUUUGUGAACAGUUUUUAAUCCACGAACUUUUUCCACAAAAAUCAUGAACUUUUUUCAAAUUCGCAAACACUCUCAAAUCAGUGAACUUUUCUUCAAAUUCACGAGAUUUUUCCAGAUCCAUGAGUUAUUUUUUCAAAUUCUCUAAGACUUAUAAAAUAAGUGAACUUUUUUAAAGUUCACUAAUACUUAUCCAAUCAGUGAAGUUUUUCUAACUCAUGAGUUUUUUUUCAAACCACAAUCUUUUUAUGAAUUCGCAACAAUAAAUUCAUGAACACUUUCCAAAUCAGGGAUGGUUAUUUUCAAAAUUCACAAACGUUUUAUGAAUUCACAAGUUUUAUUUUUCAAAUCCAUGAGUUUUUUGGAAUUUGCAAACUUUUAAAAAAGGGGAGUUUCAUAAAAUUCCAUGAACUUUUAAAAAUGCACCAGUUUUUUUGAAGUCCAUGAUAUGUUUUCGAAUCGUAAUCUUUUCAAAUCCAUGAUAUUUUUUCGAAUUCUUGAUUUUUAUCAAACCCAUGAAACUUUUCUCAAUGUCCAUGAACUGUUUUCAAAUUUGCGAACAUUAUUCAAACCUACAAUUUUGUACGAGUUUUGUUUCAAAUACGCGGCGCUCACUAUCCAAGCCUGCAAGGGUGUGUCUAUAACGGGUUGGCCGGUGUUCCUGGUUUUAAAUGGUAUUGUGUGGUUUUUCAUUUUUCUGUCUUUUCUGUGUCUUCUCUACUGUUUUAGUAUAUUUUCUUUGAUUUAUGAUUUUACUCUUUCCAUUAUUUUAUUCUCCUUUUUUUCAUAUCUUAAUUCAUGAAUAUUUAUUCAGUUUAUGAAUAUUGUAAAACAUGAUUUCCAUUUAAAAUUCACAAAAAAGUAAUAUUCGUGAAUUUUCUUUAAAUUCAUGAAUAUUUCUAUAGUUCACAAAACAAUUACAGCCUAUUUAUUUUAAAAAAUUUGAACCUCUGUUAGAAUUCACUAACAUUGUUUGAAGUCCAUGAAUAUUUUAUAGAUGUCUGAACAUCUUAGAAUAAUCAUAGUUAUUCUGUUUUGCAAUAUUUUUUGAAAUUUUGUGAACAUAGUUUUAGUUAAUGAAUUCUUUCAAACCAAAAAAAUAUGGUAAUCAUAUUUUCGGAGCUAGGAGUGUAGUGAGCAGGGAAAAAAAAGCUAAGUGGGUGAGUGAAGCACGUGCCAUGUUGAGCGAGCGAGAGCUACAUUGACUGGCCCAUGUGAGUGUUACUCCCUCCGUUCUUAAAUACAAGUUUUUUAAGAGUUUUUAUUAGGGGUUUACAUACGGAGCAAAAUGAGCGAAUCUAUAUUCUAAAGUAUGUUUAUAUACAUCCGUAUAUAGUCCACUGAUUGAACCUCUAAAAAAAUUUAUAUUUAAAAACGGGGGAGUAUAAUAAUAAUUCCAUGAUUUUAAUACGGAAUAAGAGCUUCCAAGGGGCUUACGCAACACAAUCAUCAUCGGCUGACACCAAGGCCCAAACGUGUAAGGACAACAUUAGCACACAUGUAACAACUACGGUUUCCUCACGGAACAGCUAUAUUCUUCAAUAACAGCCCAACACGUUAUAUUAACGAGAAACACCGGAGGUGGUGUAUUGGAACAUAGGUGUAGAUACACCUCUACACCUACCAUGAAAUAUAUAUGUUAAUAAUACAUUUCAAAAUGUUACAAAAUUGCAAACAAAAAUUUCGCAUGUACAUUCGGACAUUCUGUGUUCGCACACUAAAUUCACAAGGAAAGAACUUUUUGUGGCAUGUAUAAAAGAGAUAAAAAUAAUAUCUCGUGAAUAGUUGUAAUCAAGCAUCGAAAAUUGUCUUUUAUACACAAGCCACAAAAAAUGUCCCUUUUUACCGAAACAUUAUGCAUGAACAUAUAAUGUCCGGAUGUACGCAUUAGAUUUUUUUUCUUUAAUUUUUUAACAUUUUAAAAUGUGUAUAUUUAAACAAUGGAUGGAUAUACAUCUAUGAGCCAAAAUGAACUUAUCGUCCACCAUAACAUAGCUAAAUUCAAGUGAGCGUUGAUAAAACCAAAAUGAAAGAACCAAUCGCAAUAAUUUGCUAAAGAAAAAGGAGUUAAUACCAUGAAUGAAGGACACCACAGCGAAGCGCGCGUUAGCUUCUCAUCACACUGAUACAGAUGAAAUAACUUGUAUAAGAAUUUUACAAGUUUAAAUCUUAGCGACUUUGGUGUUGCCUUACUGCUCUAGCAUAUUUUAUUUCCUAGUUAGUGUACUUGAUUCGGCCUUGAUAUAUGUCAAACUACAGGAAACGAGUGCGGUGCUACAGAAGCGAAUUGAGCACGGGUCCAAGUAUGAAAACUUUGGCAAGCUCUCCUUGUUCAGUACUUUCAAAUCGUUAUUUUAUAUUUUAUCUUACUCCCUCCAUAUCAUAAUAUAAAAAAAAAUUGACACUAUGAUGGUGUCAAAAAGAUAUCUCAUAUUUUGAUACAAAGGGAGUAUCAUCAAGAUGCAUAAAAUAUGUUGACAUAAAUCGUGUGGAAUAACGGUUGGCAAAUAGUUGGGUAGAUGGAGCACUUAAUCCAUUGAUAUAAUUAUUUGGCGGGUACGAGGUGCCCGGGAUGGACAUAUUGGAAGGUGUCUUCCACUUACAUAUGAGCAUCAUAUACGAAUAAAUUCACUCUCACUUUGUAUGCGCAUCCAUACAAAAAUCGUAUCAACUACAUGCUUGCCAAAAAUAAUGUCAAGCAAAGGCCUACUACAUAUCUGGCGAUUUUACUAUCCACAUGGGUACUAGGUUGGGUGAUUAAAUUCCAAACCAAUGCCAGAUAAGUGCAUUAGCAGUACGCUAUUAUAUUUAAGUGUUGGUGGAGUGUCGAGUAUCUUUGCUUGACUCAACGACUAGGUAAUACUCCUUCCGUCCCGAAAUAAGUGUUUUAACUUUAUAUUAAUUUUAAUAUAAAAUUAUACUAAACUUAAAACAUUUAUUUUGGAACAGAGGAAGUACCUAACUGAAUGGAAGUAUAAUGUGCUAAAUGGGGAAAGCUUUGAACUCUGUCUGGGUCUCUUAUAUGACGAGAAUAAGGCCCUGUUUGGAACCAUAAUAGAUUAUGAUAAUAUGGAUUAUGAAGAUAGAUUAUAUAAUCUGGUUUAUAAAAAUAAUCUAAGUGGACAUGUUUGGAGGCCAGAUUAUAUAAACUGUAAUAAAGGUUUUACAUUGCAUAAUGACCCGUCUGCCCUCUGGUUUUUUUUAAAAAAAAAGAGAAGGAUGGCGGUGGUAGGAAUGUAAUUAUUUCCAACUUUAUAAGGGUAAUGGGUCAUUAGCAAUCCAUAAUCUGAUUUUAGCUGGUAUAGAGUAGCUUAUGAGUUUUUAAUAAUCUAUCCAUCUAGUUUUUAUAAUCUACACCAUAAGUUGUCCUGUUUGGAAACAUAAUAGAUUAUAAAAACUGAAUUAUAUAAUCUGGGUGGUUCCAAACAGGGCCUAACAAAAACUAGAGUUUAUGUGGGUAAAGUGAUACAGCCUAGGCACUGCCAAAUAAAAUCAUGCCCACUUCUUGGAUUGGAGGCCACGGGAAUCUAUUGGUGGUUCUAUCAUGUGAUAGAGUGACUAGUGAUUUUCUAGAUUGAACUGAACUUUUUUUUUACAACAACUGUUUAUUUUAAAAGGUGUUAAGCUUAGGUAGGACUUUUUAACUUAUACUCCCUCCUUCUAAGAUAAGUGAUUUAAUUUUGUAUUGAUGAUAGUAAAAUUAGUAUAAAAUUAAAUCAUUUAUUUUAAAACAGAGAAAAUAUACACUAUCAUGAGCGUUGUAAAGCUUCCUGUGUAUAUUGUACUCACCCUCAUUAUUAAUUCCCUCUUUCUUAAAGCCAAUCUUGUAUGAGAUUCCUAAUGGACCAAGUGAGAGAAAGAAUGAUGACGGCUAAAACUACACAACAGCCCUAAAUGUCGAUCCAUUGAGUGAUAUGUACGAUCUGAAUGUCAGAUAGGAGGGUUGGGAAUGAAUAUCAUAGAUAUGAAGCUGUGUACUUCAUGAACCAUCUUAUCAUCAUCUAUUUAGCAGUACUAGUUGAAUUCCAGUAUUGUAAUAUAAAAGCAUCUACAAUCGAAUUUCUCAUACCCGUCUCAGACACUCGAGCAGGCUGUCCGAUCAAUGAUCGGUCACAAAAACAUAAUCUAAUCGGAUCCCUCAUGUCCGUCUCAAACGCCGGGACCGACCGACAUCCUUUAUAUCAAUCUCAAAUACGAGGACGAUAUAAGGGAUAGUGGACACCUUCAAUCAGUGCGCCACAUAGGACGCGACCCCAUUCGAACCAUUUUAUUAUUAUUAUUAAUUCUUUUUUCUCUCUUUUCUUCUUCAUUAAUCACGUGCAAAGUGAUUGGACAUAUAAGAAAUAAUAUGAGAAGUACGACUGCACGAACGAAAAUGUAAGGGCUUAAAACGGACACGCCCGGUCAGCGUCCGCGAACGUUUGAGGGGUCAGAUUUGCCAAGUCUGACUGUAGAUGCUCUAAGAGCAUCUCCAAAGCUUACUGUUAGAGCAUAUAUCUUCAUAUGUGAUUUUGGUAAUUGAUGACAAUUCCUAUGGACUAAUGGUUGCCUUAAGUUAUAUUUAUAGGAUUUGUCCAUAGGCACUUCUUGAAGUCCAUCUGUUGGGUUCAAGGAGUUUAUAUGAUGACCAAGGUGGUAUUCAAGGUAUUAUCCAAAGAAUGGUCAUAGAGACACAAGGUUGAUCAAGAUCUCAGACAAAGAGUAAAUCAAGAUGAUCAACACACAAAGCGUACAAGAUGUACCGAGAAGGAUCAAGUGAUCCCAUGGUAUGGUAAGCAUUGUCCAUUACGUGUUUGUGUACUAACCCAUGGUCUUCGUGAGAGUUCUAUAUGGGGGUUAGGUGUGUUUCCAUGGGCUUGCGUCAAAGAGAAGAUCUCAUACAACCCAUGAAGUAUGACGUCAAGUUGUGAUCGACAUCAAGAUUGCGAUGUGCAAGUUCAAGUGGAUCAGCACAAAGAUAUCAUGCUUGAAGCUUGCUGUCCAUUGACAAAGAGUAAAUUAAGAUGAUCGACACACAAAGCGUACAAGAUGUACCGAGAGGGAUCAAGUGAUCCCAUGGUAUGGUAAGCAUUGUCCAUUACGUGUUUGUGUACUAACCGAUGGUCUUCGUGAGAGUUCUAUGUGGGGGUUAGGUGUGUUUCCAUGGGCUUGCGUCAAAGAGAAGAUAUCAUACAACCCAUGAAGUACGACGUCAAGUUGUGAUCGUCAUCAAGAUUGCGAUGUGCAAGUUCAAGUGGAUCAGCACGAAGAUAUCAUACUUGAAGCUUGCUGUCCAUUGUGGUGGUAAUGGACUUGUGAAGAUAUGCUGAAGAGUGGCUCAUCCAUAGUGAGUAUGGGGGAGCAAUCAACUAGUCUUCAUCAAGCCAACGCAAUCAAGAAAGGUGGUCCAUCUUGAGGAAGCCAAGAUCAUCAUCAUCUACCUCAAGAGGACGAGGUGCAAGGUAUAGGUUUGCCCUUGAUAGGUUUUCUGGUUAGGAUAGAUUGCUGUACUAUCAAGGGGGGCUCUCAAGUGAGUAGUUUGAUCGUAUCGUUCGUUGAGAGCUCAAACCAUUUGCAUCCUUGCAUCAUACUUCUUGGUUCUUGUUUGGUGUUUCUCUUUGUGAGUUUUAGAGCUUAUGGUCAUCUUCGUGACAAGCUCGAGUUCAUCGAAAACGGAGUCCAUAUGCAUCUACUAUGAUGUUUUCGAUGUUGGAGUUUUUGUCGGUUCUUCAUUCAUAGAGAUCUCACAUCUCUAUAUCAUUGGCAUUUUCAUAUCUGCAUGGUCUUAAGAUUUCGACAUGGCUGUUUGGAUAGCUCUUGUCGUCCUGAAUCCAACAAGCUUGGGUUUGCUCGAUUCAGAGCUCGUAUGCGAAAGUUAUGGUUGUUUCAGUGUCGAGCGAUAGUACCGCUGGACCUAGCGGUAGUACCGCUAGAGUUGGCGGUAGUACCGCUGGCCCUAGCGGUAGUACCGCCCCUGGUCAGCGGUAGUACCGCUCCAGGAGCUUAGUACCGCCUGCUUAGCGGUUGUUCGUGGACGGACCUUUUUGCGAAGACUUUCUUGGCGGUGGUAGUGCCUUUGCACUACCAGGGCCCAACGGUAGUACCGCUGGAGUGCCAGCGGUAGUACCGCUGGAGCUCGGGCAGAGAGUGGGGGUAACGGUCUGAUUCCUUCCCCCACUAUAUAAAGGGGGUCUUCUUCCCCCUUGGCCUUAUCCAUCCGUUGAGCUCUUGUUCUACCUCCAUUAUUGACAUUCUUAGAGCUUGCUUACUCUCAAUCCCUCCAAUGAUUCUUGCUUGUUCUUGAGGGAAAAGAGAGAGGAGAUCUAGAUCCACAUCUCCACCAAUCACUUUCUCCUCUAUGUGAGGGGAACCCAUUGGAUCUUGAUCUUGGAGUUCUUUGUGAGCUCCUUGUUCUUCCUCUCAUAUUUCUCCAUAGCUUUCGUUGUUGUGGAGGGAUUUGAGUGUGAGGGACUUGACCACAUCGUGUGUUCUUGCCAUUGCAUUAGUUGCAUCGGUUUGAGUUCUCCACGGUGAUACGUGGAAGUGAAGUUUGAGAAGCUUAUUACCUUUGGUACUUAGUACCCUAGAUAUUGUUCUUCGCGGAUGAUUUGGAGUCCUAGAAGCUUGGUGGUGUCUUGGAGCUCAAUCAUUGUGGUGUGAAGCUCCGGGCAAGCGUUGGGGUCUCCAAUUAGGUUGUGGAGAUUGCCCCGAGCAAUUUGUACGGGUACCGGUAACCGCCCCCAAGGGUUGCCACGUGUACGGGUUCGGUGACCGCCCCCAAGGUUUGCCAUUUGUACGGGUUCGGUGACCGCCCUCAAGGGUCCCUUAGUGGAAUCACGGCAUCUUGCAUUGUGCGAGGGCGUGAGAAGAUUACGGUGGCCUUACUAGCAUCUUGGGGAGCAUUGUGCCUCCACACCGCUCUAACGGAGAUUAGCAUCCGCAAGGGUGUGAACUUCGGGAUACAUCAUCGUCUCCCCGUGCCUCGGUUAUCUCUUACCCGAACCCUUUACUUAUGCACUUUACUUUGUGACAGACAUAUUGUUUAUUGUAAUAUAUCUUGCUAUCACUUAGUUGUUUAUCUUGCUUAGCAUAAGUUGUUGGUGCACAUAGGUGAGCCUAGUUGUUUGUAGGUUUUGUGCUUGACAUAUUAAACGUUAGUUUUAUUCCGCAUUUGUUCAAGCCUAAACCUUAAUUAUUUUAAAGCGCCUAUUCACCCCCCCUCUAGGCGACAUCCACGUCCUUUCACUUACCCGUAAACUGGAUGCUGCAUCCGUCCGUGGACAAGGUGACUAGUCCAUGAACACGGAUAUGGGAGGCAGUUAUCCAAAGCUAGUCACUAUAUGCCCGCCAAUAAAGCACAGUUUGAAAUUCAAAUACGUCCGAACAUACCAUGCGUCGAAUCACGCCAACACCGGAUCACAUCAUCGGUCGAUCACAACCAAGACAAGCAUGCUUAGUUUUUACAUGUCGUGGUCGUGAAAGAGUAUUAUACGACAAUUCUUCAAUUAUAGUCUCCAUGCCCAAUCCGCCGUCGCCACUGUGGAGGCCGCCUUUGUCCCAGCAGUGACAUCGACAAUGUAGGGCACUUGCCUGGUCGCGGAUGUCCAGGACAUCCUACCCAUCUUCUUGGCGGCGUAGUAGUCAGUAGCCUUGUAAUGCCCUGGCCAUGGCGGCGUCCACAAGGUCGGCGAGGGCGACAUGGCACAAUCUCAACGUUCACGACCAGCAUGCCCACCGACACGUCUGCCACCACCACACCUCCGUUGGCCUUCUGCUUCUUGAGUGUCUCCCCCUUUGUGGCGUUCGCUUUGACACGAUGAUUUUGCCGUGUCGUCGAAGUUGAUCUUCCGUGCGAGCGUGUAGCUUGGAUCCUCCACCACCAUCAUCUCUGACAGGGUCUCCUCUGGCUCCAUGCACCGACGAUGACAAGGAGGGAAGAAGAGAUUGCGGAAAAAUGGCUCGAACUGGGUGAAGAGCAGCUGGAGGGAAGAAGAGAGCGAAGGAUUCUUCUGCAGAAACAGUGAGGCUAGCUUGAAAAGCGCAGACUCCGUCUGAGUUCGACGUUGGAUGGCUCGCGGGUCCAGACAACUGAGUCGAGAUGGAUACAAGUGGUUUGAGGGUCUUUGUUAGAGAUGUCCUAAAUGACUAUAUAUGUAGUUAUUUUCCUGUUGCAAAUUCGUGACAUGGAUUAUUAUUUGAUAAAAAUGAAUUCUGUUAAGAAAUAAUUCAAGGACUAGUGUAAUUAUCUAAAUUAGUAAUGACACGGGUCGUCACAACACUCCUCGACAAACGGCAAAAUUAACGAAUUUGACUCAUGGACGAAAGUAUUUCACAAACUGGACCACGUUCAAAAAAAUUCAUUCAGGUGAUCCUUCUAUGUGGCGCUCGACAGUGAGAUGCUUUAGGCGUCACACUGUUUUGUGUGGUGCCUAUGACUUAGACGCCACACAACCUAGUGUUAGGCGUCACAAAUUGCAGUGUGUCGUCUAAGCCAAAUAUGUCAAAAAAAAGUCAAACGGGUAAAAUCUUUUCAAACGCGGUUCAAUUUAUAAAAUACUUUCGUUUUUUGUGUCAAAAUUUUCCAUUUUGCCCCCACCAUCACGUCCGUCGGCACCACACCCUUGGCUGGCGUUUUGCUUCUUGAGCGUUUCCGUCUUUGCGGCCUUCGCUUUGAUGCGACAAUCUUUCCGUGUCGGUGAGUUGAUCCUCCGGGCGAGCAAUUAUACAUGUCACGAGUAAACAAUAGCAAUGGCGUGGGACCAGUGUUUUGAGAUCUCAAGGGGAGAUUUGGGAGCUGUGGUGGCUUCCUCCUUUCGGGCAGCCAUGACAUGACCCCCUGCUCAGCACUCUCCAAGUCGACGAUGCGACCUUGGAUCUGCUGCCAUCCUUUGCGAUGUUCGAAGCGGCCCUUUCAGGCAUCGGAUUUCAAAGUCCUAGGAGCGGCAGUCGUAUGCUGCUUCCGUUCCUCGCCAGCAUCCUCAAAGACACGCGCACGUUUUCGCCCUCGUUAACAAGUUGUUGAAGCUGGUUCCGUACGUCGUUGGCAGUGAAAACUCAGCUCCUGGUCCUAAGGUACAGUUCCUAGCCCUACUUGGGAACUGUGCCGUGGAAAUGAAAAAUGCAAGGCGUGGCUGCCUGCAAAACGCCGGGCAGUUCGCCGCCCUAGCAAAAAGGCGACGUACCAUGUUGUCCAAGCAAUCAAAAUCAGGUCACCCUCCCUUUACUGCUGCCGGCGUCAGUGUCAGCUAGCCAGAUAGUGAAUUCAGAACACACAUGGACAGGGAGUACUUGCUUUCAAUCAAAGAAAAGAACAUGGAGAAGUACUACGUACGUGCUCAACUGAUUAAUGUUGAAGUCGAUCGAACUUUCACCGGUAGGAGGAAUAAUGCACCGUGGUAUUACUACUCAGAAUUACACUCACCAGCCAUGCAAUUAAUUAACCUGCAUUUUCCAACAGAUUAGGAUAGUACUAGUAACUUGUAUGAGCCGCCUCAGAAAAAUACUAUGCAAGCACUGCUCAUGCAUGUAUAUUCAGCACACUGGUAUUAUCGCUUGAAACAAAACAAAACAAGACAAAACAAGACAAAAAAUCUCAUUGUCCUCACUCCACGUGCAUCGAGAUCUCUCUUACUUAUGAGCCACACAAUAGAAAUGCAAGAUAUCUUGCCAAAGUACUAGUAAUAGAAAUAUAGCAGAUAAUUACAACAUAUAGGAGUAGUUUGCAUGAUACAGGUUCCACUCGUUCGUGAUCAACUACCAGCAAACAUGGAGGUAGAACCACCGCUAACAAUUUUCCCCGAUCUAGUCGAUCGUGAACGCUCGGUAAUUACUGGAUCCGACGCCAUUGCCUGCAAUGGUGUAUGGCAUGCAUGACCGCCCUUCAGGCUUCAGCAUGCAUGUGUGUCUUGAUCAAGGCAGGUGUGUGCAGUCCUAGCACGCUGGAGGUCUGGAGGUCGAUAAAAUGGGUAAUGGGUAAUGAUCAGUUCUGAGGGCAGAAGGGCGUGCCGGGCUUCUCCCUGUGGCUGGGGAUGACGAAGUGCCGGAUCCUGCCGACCUGCUCGGCGAGGUAGGCUUCGCAGAGGAAGGCCUUGGAGAAGCUGUCCUCCACCGCCCGGUCCACGUCGUGCACGAACACGUCCGUGGCGCCGUCGCCGGGCCGCCGCGCGCGGGCCGCCAUGCCGGCCGUGUAGAUGGCGCCCAUCCUCCCGGGCGCCUCGGGCGUCCACCCCGUGGGCGCGUCCACCAUGAUGAGGUCCCACUCGGUCUCGUGGAACACGGCGGGGAGGCCGCGCAGCGCCAGCCGGCACGAGGCCUCGGCGGCGGCGGCGAGGUCCGGCUGCGCGGUGCACCCCGGGUGGUCGCGCAGGGCGAUGAGGUCGUCGGCCUCGGUGAGGCGGGUGUCGUAGGUCACGUGGUACGACUCGAGGCCCGGGUGCGCGGCGCGGACGGAGGCGAUCCAGGACGCGUCCUCCUCGAGGAACACAGUGCGGCCGCCGUGGUUGAGCGCCGCCCACAUGGGGCUGUCGUGCCCGAGGCCGAACACCAGGAAGUUGCACGGCGAGCGGCGCUGCAGCACGCGCAGCGACACCCCGAUCUCCGCCGCCGUCUGCUGCGGCGUCACGUUCGACGUCGCGUAGUGCACCAGGGCCUCGGCCACGGCCCCCGGCAGCUUCGAGCACGACCCGUCGCCAUCGCUCUCGCCGCCGCGCAGCCGCGAGGCGUGGGAGGAGGAGGAGGAGAAGAGCGUGCGGGCGGAGAAGAGGAGGAGGAAGGCGGCGAGGGCGGCGACGAGGAGGAGGCGGUGGCCGAGGAAGCCGUGCAGCUUGGCCUUCAUGGAGGCGAGGUGGAGGGCCUGCUUGCGGGCGUGCGUGGGGCUCGACAUGGACGCUCGUCGGUUCUUCUUGUCUUGGGUGGCGAGGGGUUUAUAGGCGAAGAGGAUCGAUGCUUGAAGGAAGGGGAGGCGAUGGAGGGAAGGAAGGAAGAAGAGAUUGGUAAUGGAGGAGGAGGGGCGGAUGGGAUUGUGAUGAUGGGGUUGGGUUGGGUUGGGUGACGAGGACACGAGACCUGCAAAGUUUGGUGUAGGGUUGGCUUUCGGAUGGACGGGUGGAUGGAUGCUUUGGGUUGUGGGGCGCCCUUUUCGGUUGAGAGGACGGCAGGCGUUGAUGCAAAGGAAUGGGCCGAAUGUCGACUGUAUUUCCUUUUUCUUUUCUUUUUCUCUUGAUGAUAUACAUAGUGCUGAUUAUUGUGUUUUAAAUACGAAGUAGACGUCGUGAGGGAGAUGUCGGCCACGGUAUUAUCUUCAACAGUUUAGACUGAAUUUUUUUGAAACGUUUAUAUUGAUAUUACUAUCAUAUAUACUCCCUCCGUUCCUAAAUAUAAGACCUUUUAAAAGUUUCAUUAUGAACAACAUACGGAUGUAUAUAGACACAUUUUAGAACAUAGAUUGACUCAUUUUGCUUUGUAUGUAGUCCAUAGUGAAAUGUCUAAAAGGUCUUAUAUUUAAGAAUGAAGGGAGUAAGCAAUAGCAUAUUGUUGUCUUGACAUAUUUGCGAGAAGGCCGAUAGGACGACACAAAAACGAGAAUUUCAUCCAACAACAUAAUUCGUUAUCUGCAGGAAAAAAAUUGACCCGGGUUGACACAUUUAUAGAUGCAAGCGCUCAUAUAAAUGCACAUACAGUUAAUCAAUAAACAUACACACGUACAUCCUAUCUCAUGAAUAUUUUUAAAAGAUUGAGCCAACAUAUCAUCCUGAGAUUUACAUAGUCAUUCUAGACGUCUCGUUAUCGACGAAAACGUUUCACUGAAUACGUAGCCGAAAAUUCUAAAAUAAAUUCAGAAAAGAUGCGAGCAUCUGUACUUGAACCCGACGGACUCAGGGUACCACUAUUCAUCUAGCCAUCCAACAAUGGAUUGGUUCACACUUUUCCUAUUCAAUGUUAUUGUUGCAUCUAUGAGAGUUCAUCGGUGUUUUAUUCAGACGGCUAAUUAUUGUGUUUUAAAUACGAAGUAGACGUCGUGAGGGAUGGAGUAGGCCACAAUAUUAUCAAUAAUAUAUAUUGAUUUCUAUUCUGUGAAAUGUUUAAACUGAUACUACCAUCACAAGCAAUGACUUAUCAUUGUCUCGACGCAUUUGCGAGAAGUCUGAUAGGAUGAUAGAGAAUUUUGUUCAACGACAACCUUUGUUAUCUGCAGGAAAAACUAAUGAUGUAGUUUGACACUUGGUGGGCAUUCCUGUUCAAUGUUGUUGUUAACGGCAUGGAUCCGCAAAAGCUCACUAGUGACUUGCUAGACCGGCCAUUAAAUCCAACGUGGUCAACAAGGUGAUGGUAGAGACACCUGGCUUAAGGGCGGCGCCGGGAUGGAGUGGAUGCGGCCACAGGCAAGGCGGUAAGGAGGAUGUCAUUUUACAUAUUGACACGAUUUUAAUACAUGGUCUUGAGCCCAUCUUGCAUCCUAAGACUUAUAGAAGCAUGACGUGGUAAACUGAUGCUCUUGUACAAAGCAUUGAUUUUUGCAACAACAACAGCAAAACUACAUUUUCAGCAGAAAACAAAAAUUAGGCAAGAAGCAAGUAAAUUUUGAGCCAUUUCCAAUGAUGAUGUUAUGCGGAACACCAUAUUUUUAGAUGAUGUUUCUGAUGAACCUAGUGAAGUUCUCGCACCAGCCUUCACUAUAGGAUUUGCCUCUAUCCACUACGACAAUAGGAUCAGCGAAGCCCCCAUCGAGCAUUGUCCGAUCUCAUUUGAUAUGGCGGUUGACAUCGACAAUGGGUGUUUCGAACCAUAUCACUAAUGAGACACAUGCACGCAGCUUGUGGCGGAAAUUGAAGGAGUUGUUCACACACCUUUGACAAGAUAAACAAAUUGUGAAGACAUAACUACUUCUUCUACAAUUGUUUUGGUGUGAAUUUCAUGUAUUACCCCCUGGUAUUCUAGGUUGGACAAUGGUUAUCCAAAAGUCCAGCCGAUUUUCAUUGCCACGCCUUUUUUUGUAUCUUAUGUGUGUAAGGUUUCUCAUGAGUUGGAGUCAUAAGUCUGGAGAAACACAAUGGUAGAGUCAAAGAACCACUAUGGGAAAAGCUUUCUAUGUCAAGCGUUAGGUACUUUGGCAAGUGAAUUUUAUUGAGCACUCAACAAACAAGGCCUUUGUCGAGUGCCUAAAGAAAACACUUGACAGAAAAAUCAUACUUGACGAACAUCACCAUUGUCGAAUACCAUCCAAAAAAAGAGUUGGUGAAAACGUUGCACUAGGCACAAAUUGAGCCUGGCACUUGGCAAAGACCAAGCACAUGAAAAACACAGUGACACGUGUCCGUGGACACCGUCGUUGAUGGACAAGUGACAAUGUUGCCACUAGAGGUUGCAGUACACAUUUGAGAAUGUCACGCAAAAGUUGUCACACAUACUACUUAUAAACCGAACCAUCUCCAAGGAAGGAACUAUGUUUUGACAAGGAAAGAGAGCAGGUUUGCAUGCAAAGAGAUCGUUGAUUUAUCCAUUGACCUUCAAAAGAUUAUACACUCAAGAUACACCACUACAUGUUCCAUGUCAAAAUUUGGCAUAUUCCUGCUGGAAAAUGUAGUAGAAAAAAAAUCAGGACUAUUUAUAGAAUCAAGAAUCACUAUGAAGAUGCAAAGAGAUUUAGAUUUGAACUUUACCAAUAAAAGUCAGCUGAGAGGAGAUGUUGGUGCAGACUAGACGCAGAUUCCUGACGCUAUGAUUAAACCUCACAACAAUAGUAACAAAGGUGCAGCAAGAUGGCCCAAUCCCUUUUGUAGCAAGGGACAAGCCUGGACAAACUCUUAUAUGAGGUGAAGCGCUCCCGAGGACACAUGGAAUUUCUGUCAAGCUAGUUUUCAUCAUGUUCAUAUGAUUCGCGUUCGCUACUUUGUGUUGGGGAACGUCGCAUGGGAAACAAAAAUUUUCCUACGCGCACGAAGACCUAUCAUGGUGAUGUCCAUCUACGAGAGGGGAUGAGUGAUCUACGUACCCUCGUAGAUCGUACAGCAGAAGCGUUAGAGAACGCGAUUGAUGUAGUGGAACGUCCUCACGUCCCUCGAUCCGCACCGCGAACAAUCCCGCGAUCAGUCCCACGAUCUAGUACCGAACGGACGGCACCUCCGCGUUCAGCACACGUACAGCUCGACGAUGAUCUCGGCCUUCUUGAUCCAGCAAGAGAGACGGAGAGGUAGAAGAGUUCUCCGGCAGCGUGACGGCGCUCCGGAGGUUGGUGAUGAUCUCGUCUCAGCAGGGCUCCGCCCGAGCUCCGCAGAAACGCGAUCUAGAGGAAAAACUAUGGAGGUAUGUGGUCGGGCAGCCGUGAGAAAGUCGUCUCAAAUCUGCCCUAAAAGCUCCAUAUAUAUAGGAGGAGGGAGGGGGACCUUGCCUUGGGGUCCAAGGGAUCCCCAAGGGGUCGGCCGAGCCAGGGGGGAGGACUCUCCCCCCCCAAACCGAGUCCUACUUGGUUUGGUGGGAGGGAGUCCUUCCCCCUUCCCACUUCUUCCUUUUUUUUCUUUCCUUUGAUUUUUCUUCCUUGGCGCAUAGGGGAUUGGUGGUCUGUCCCACCAGCCCACUAAGGGCUGGUGUGACCCCCCAAAUACCUAUGGGCUUCCCCGGAGUGGGUUGCCCCCCUCCGGUGAACUCCCGGAACCCAUUCGUCAUUCCCGGUACAUUCCCGGUAACUCCGAAAACCUUCCGGUAAUCAAAUGAGGUCAUCCUAUAUAUCAAUCUUCGUUUCCGGACUAUUCCGGAAACCCUCGUGACGUCCGUGAUCUCAUCCGGGACUCCGAAAAACAUUCGGUAACCAACCAUAUAACUCAAAUACGCAUAAAACAACGUCGAACCUUAAGUGUGCAGACCCUGCGGGUUCGAGAACUAUGUAGACAUGACCCGAGAGACUCCUCGGUCAAUAUCCAAUAGCGGGACCUGGAUGCCCAUAUUGGAUCCUACAUAUUCUACGAAGAUCUUAUCGUUUGAACCUCAGUGCCAAGGAUUCGUAUAAUCCCGUAUGUCAUUCCCUUUGUCCUUCGGUAUGUUACUUGCCCGAGAUUCGAUCGUCAGUAUCCGUAUACCUAUUUCAACCUCGUUUACCGGCAAGUCUCUUUACUCGUUCCGUAAUACAAGAUCCCGCAACUUACACUAAGUUACAUUGCUUGCAAGGCUUGUGUGUGAUGUUGUAUUACCGAGUGGGCCCCGAGAUACCUCUCCGUCACACGGAGUGACAAAUCCCAGUCUUGAUCCAUACUAACUCAACUAACACCUUCGGAGAUACCUGUAGAGCAUCUUUAUAGUCACCCAGUUACGUUGCGACAUUUGAUACACACAAAGCAUUCCUCCGGUGUCAGUGAGUUAUAUGAUCUCAUGGUCAUAGGAAUAAAUACUUGACACGCAGAAAACAGUAGCAACAAAAUGACACGAUCAACAUGCUACGUCUAUUAGUUUGGGUCUAGUCCAUCACGUGAUUCUCCCAAUGACGUGAUCCAGUUAUCAAGCAACAACACCUUGUUCAUAAUCAGAAGACACUGACUAUCAUCGAUCAACUGGCUAGCCAACUAGAGGCAUGCCAGGGACGGUGUUUUGUCUAUGUAUCCACACAUGUAAAUGAGUCUUCAUUCAAUACAAUUAUAGCAUGGAUAAUAAACUAUUAUCUUGAUACAGGAAUUAUAAUAAUAACUAUACAUUUAUUAUUGCCUCUAGGGCAUAAUUCCAACACUUUGAUAUUUUGAUAUGUGGGUGGACCGGUGCUUGGGUGCUGCCCUUACUUGGACAAACAUCCCACUUAUGAUUAACCCCUCUCACAAGCAUCCACAACUACGAAAGAAGAAUUAAGACUAAGCCUAACCAUAACAUUAAACUAGUGGAUCCAAAUCAGCCCCUUACGAAGCAACGCAUAAACUAGGGUUUAAGCUUCUGUCACUCUAGCAACCCAUCAUCUACUUAUUACUUCCUAAUGCCUUCCUCUAGGCCCAAAUAAUGGUGAAGUGUCAUGCAGUCGACAUUCACAUAACACCACUAGAGGAAAGACAACAUACAUCGCAUCAAAAUAUCAAACGAAUACCAAAUUCACAUGACUACUUAUAGCAAGACUUAUCCCAUGUCCCGAGGAACAAAAGUGACUACUCACAAAGCAUAAUGAUGUUCAUGACCAGAGAGGUAUUGAAUAGCAUUAAGGAUAUGAACAUAUGAUCUUUCACCGAGUAAUCCAACUAGCAUCAACUACAAAGAGUAAUUAACACUACUAGCAACCUUACAAGUACCAAUCGGAGUCGCGAGACGGAGAUUGGUUACAAGAGAUGAACUAGGGUUUGGAGAUGAGAUGGUGUUGAUGAAGAUGUUGAUGGAGAUGAGUCCCCUCCAAUGAGAGGAGCGUUGGUGAUGACGAUGACGACGAUUUCCCCCUCCGGGAGGGAAGUUUCCCCGACAGGACGGCCCUGCCGGAGCUCUAGAUUGGUUCUGCUCAAGUUCCGCCUCGUGGUGGCGGCGUCUCUUUCAGAAAGCCUCCUCCUGAUUUUUUCUCGGACAAAACCCUACUUAUAGGAAAAGAUGGGAGCCGGAAGGGGUAGCGGGGGGCCCACAAGCCACCCAGGCGCGACCAGGGGGUAGGCCGCGCCUGGCAGGCUUGUGGCCUCCUGGUGGCUCCCCUCUGGUACUUCUUCCGCCCAAUAUUUUUUAUAAAAUCCAAAAUAAUUCCUCGUUGAUUUUUACGGCUUUUGGAGUUGCGCGGAAUAGGUAUCUCAAACUUGCACUUUUUCAGACCAGAAUUCUAGCUGCCGGCAUUCUCCCUCUUCAUGUAAACCUUAUAAAUUAAGAGAGAAAAGGCAUAAGUAUUGCACCGUAAUGUGUAAUAACAGCCCAUAAAAGCGAUAAAUGUCAACAUAAAAGCAUGAUGCAAAAUGGACGUAUCAACUCCCCUAGGCUUAGACCUCGCUUGUCCUCAAGUGGAAGACGAGAUCAAUAAAUAUGCCCACAUGUUUAGAGAUAGAGGUGUUGAUAAAACAACAUACGGACAUGCAGGCAUCAUGAUCAUAUUUAGAACAACAAUAUCGUCAUAUAAUCUCUUAUGCUAAAGUGAUAAUUCCUUCACAAAGUAAAGUAUGGAUCAAGAACCUUAUUGAGAAUUAACAACCAAUAGCUUUUAGUCAUUGAAGCAAUUGCAAUUUAUCAUAACAUCGAAAAGAGUCAAAUAAGAGCCUGUAAAGCAAAUCCACAUACUCAAUCAUCCUUUCGUCUUCUAUAAUUGCUAAAACUCACGUGGUACUCAUGAGAUCAAAGUUUCAGUUGGACACAGAGAAAGAUAGGGGCUUAUAGUUUCGCCUCCCAACUAUUUACCUCAAGGGUAAUGUCAACAAUAAUAAUUCGUGAAUACUAAUUUCCAAGUUGACAUAUGAAUAUAGAUCUUUCCCUAGCACAUGACAUUAGCCAAGAUAAUGGCGAAAUAAGGAAUUGAUGUUGAUCACCACGACUCUUUUAAGGAAAAAAGUUAAGAUACAAGAUAGGCCCUUCGCAGAGGGAAGCAGAGGUUGUCAUGCUUUUGAGGUUUGGAUGUGUGACCUCUUAGUGUGAAGGAACGCCACUUUAUAUUGCCUCCUGUGAUAAAGAACUUUAUUAUGCAGUCUGUCGCUUUUAUGUCUUCCUUAUCAGAGGUCCAUACAAAGCUUAUUUUCCACACACUAAUAGAUCAUACAUAUUUAGGGAGCAACUUUUAUUGCUUGCACCAAUGACAACUUACUUGAGGGAUCUUAUUCAAUCCAUAGGUAGGUAUGGUGGACUCUCAUGGCAAAACUGGGUUGAAGGUUUAUGGAUGCACAAGUAGUAUCUCUACCUAGUGCGGAAGUUUUGGCUGAUAUGAGGUGGAAGCAAUCGUCAUGUGCUAAGGGAUCUCUAGUCAUAUAACAUUGUUCGGAACCAAGCAAACAUAAUUCAUUAUGUUGUCUUCCUUGUUCAACAUCUACUUCUAAGCAUGUAAUAGUUUAAUGAGUGUUCACAAUCAUAGAUAGUGCCCAAGAUGAUAUAUUUAUAUGUGAACCUCUCCUUCUUUAUUACUUCCUAUUAAUUGCAACAAUGACCAAGGUUUACGUUUGUCCACCCACAACAAGUUCCAAUCAACAUUCUUUUUAUAUGUGAAGCCAUCGCUUCCCAUAAGAUCAUUACAUGAUAUUUCAUGCUUUUGUUCUUUUAUUAUUAUUUUCUUUAGAUCAUGGCAUGAAGCAAGGCCCUUAACUAAAACACUCUUUAUUAUAUGACUCACGAACUCAAAUACAUUGGGGGUGACACAAAGCAAAACUCAAGCCUAGAUCACUAAGAACUUUAUUCUACUAGAGAAAGAUAAAACCGAAAAGGAUCGAACUAAGAAAAAGGUAAAGGCAAAAGAUGUGAUGGUGAUACGAUACCGGGGCAACUUGCCCAAGCUUGGCACAAGCCAAGAGGAGUGCCCAUACCCGUGCUUAUUUGUCUUCCUUCAAAGGUGAUGGUGGUGGAGUUGUUGCAAUCUGGGGUUGAUUCUCCGUCUUCCAAGGCAUAGGUGCUCCAUCAUGGAAAGAUGAUCGAGUCUCCGGAAUCCUCAAAUCUGCAGCCAACCGUAUUGAUUUAAAUCUAUACUCAUACUCAUAGUUUUGGUUCUGUAGGUCGUAGAUCUGGGCUUGGAGGUGAUCAAUUCUGUCAUAAAGCCUAGAGAGGUGCUUCACAAUAUCAUUGACAUCAAUCUUGUGCUUGUUGGUGAACUCUGUCGUCAUCAUGUGGUUGGCGUUAAGUCCGCGUUCCACCAUCCCUUGGCACUUGAAGACUUGCUGCUCCAUUGCUUCAAGCCUCGCCUCCAUGCUUCGGGUAUUCUUGGGCCCCUCAACAUCACGGAUGUGCAACACCCCCUCAUGCAUCUCGAUAGAUUGAGGGUGUUGUAGCACUCCUGCGAGGUAGGGAUUGAUGACCUUCUCGAAGAACUUGUCCUUCGGAACUUUUGGGGACGCCAUAGAGAUCUAGAUCUGUGUGCACAGAAGCUCGAAACGAAAACAGAGGAUAUUUGCGUGAUACGAGGGUAACACCUUUCGGGAGAAUAUAUAAUGAAUUUUCCCGACAAAAAGGAGUAUUCCACAAGAAAACGGAGUCCGGGAGGCACACGAGGUGCCCACAAGCCACCCAGGCGCGGCCAGGGGGUAGGCCGUGCCUGGCAGGCUUGUCGCCUCCUCGUGCGGUUUUCGGACUACUUUAAAUUUUUCUAUUUUUCUAAAAAUUCCAAAACGGAGAAAAAUUGCUACUGGAAAAGUUUUGGAGUCGGUUUACUUACCGAAUCACAUACCUCUUCGUUUUUAGAGUCUGAAACAGGCUGAUAAAUAUCCCUUAUGUACUCCUCCGGAGUUAUGGUAUUGAUAAUAUUGCUUUCAACAUUUAUGAGAGUACCUGAGAUAUAAUGCUUGAUUCUUUGCCCAUUUACAACUCUCGGAAAAUUACCUUCCGUGUUGUUGAUCUUUAUGGCACCGGAACGAUAUAAUUUCUCAACAAUGUAAGGACCUUCUCAUUUAGAGAGAAGCUUGCGUGCAAAAAAUCUUAAACGAGAAUUGUAUAGCAAGACAUAAUCACCUACAUUGAACUCACGUUUUUGUAUCCUUUUAUCAUGCCACCUCUUAAUUUUUCUUUAAACAACUUGGCAUUUUCAUAUGCGUGAGUUCUCCAUUCAUCAAGUGAGCUAAUAUCAAAUAACCUCUUCUCACCAGCAAGUUUGAAAUCAAAGUUGAGCUCUUUGAUUGCCCAAUAAGCCUUAUGCUCUAGCUCAAGAGGUAAAUGCCAUGCUUUACUAUAAACCAUUUUGUACGGAGACAUGCCCAUGGGAUUCUUAUAAGCAGUUCUAUAAGCCCACAGUGCAUCAUCAAGCUUCUUAGACCAAUUCUUUCUAGACCUAUUAACAGUCUUUUGCAGAAUUAAUUUAAUUUCUCUAUUACUUAGCUCUACUUGACCACUGGACUGAGGAUGAUAGGGAUAUGCAAUUCUAUGGUUGACGUCAUACUUAGCAAGCGUUUUACGAAAAACACCAUGAAUAAAAUGUGAACCACCAUCAGUCAUCACAUAUCUAGGGACUCCAAAUCUAGGGAAAAUAACUUCUUCAAGCAUCCUAAUAGAGGUGUUGUGAUCAACACUACUAGUUGGGAUAGCUUCUACCCACUUAGUAACGUAAUCAACAGCAACUAGAAUAUGAGUAUACCUGUUAGACUUUGGAAAAGGUCCCAUAUAAUCAAAACCCCAAACAUCAAAUGGUUCAAUAACAAGUGAAUAAUUCAUAGGCAUUUCCUGACGUUUACUGAUAUUACCUAUUCUUUGACAUUCACGACAAGACAAGACAAACUUACGAGCAUCCUUGAAGAGAGUAGGCCAAUAGAAACCGGAUUGCAAUACCUUGUGUGCAGUUCUAUCUCCCACAUGGUGUCCUCCGUAAGCCUCGGAGUGACACUUCUGUAGGAUCUGUCCCUGUUCAUGCUCAGGUACACAACGUCUAAUAACACCAUCUACUCCUUCUUUAUAAAGGUGAGGAUCAUCCCAAAAUUAAUGUCUCAAGUCAAAGAAGAAUUUCUUCUUUUGUUGGUAUGUGAAACUAGGUGGUAUAUAUUUGGCAACAAUAUAAUUUUCAUAACCAGCAUACCAAGGUGUACUACGUGAAGCAUUGAUGACAUUCAGUUGUUCAUCUGGAAAGCUAUCACCAAUAGGUUGUGGGUCAUCAAGAACAUUCUCCAACCUAGACAAGUUAUCUUCUACGGGGUUCUCAACACCCUUCCUAUCAACAACAUGCAAAUCAAAUUCUUGUAGCAAGAGAACCCAUCUGAUAAGUCUAGGUUUAGCAUCUUUCUUUUCCAUGAGAUACUUAAUAGCAGCAUGAUCAGUGUGAAUAGUAACUUUGGAAUCAACAAUGUAAGAUCUGAACUUUUCACAUGCAAACACGACUGCUAAAAAUUCCUUUUCAGUAGUAGCAUAGUUUCUUUGGGCACUGUCUAGAGUUUUACUAGCAUAAUAAAUAACAUUCAAUUUCUUAUAAAUUCUUUAUCCUAGAACAACACCAACAACAUAAUCACUAGCAUCACACAUAAUUUGAAAAGGUAGGUUCCAAUCAGGUGGUUGAACAAUAGGUGCAGUUAUCAAGGCCUUCUUAAGUAUUUCAAAUGCUUCCUCACAAUCAUCGUCAAAAACAAAAGGAAUAUCUUUUUGCAAGAAAUUGGUAAGAGGCCUAGAAAUCUUAGAGAAGUCCUUAAUGAACCUUCUAUAGAAACCAGCAUGACCAAGGAAACUUCUUAUACCUUUAAUGUCUGUAGGGCAUGGCAUUUUCUUGAUCGCAUCAACUUUAGCCUUAUCAACUGAUACGUCUCCAACGUAUCUAUAAUUUUUGAUGGUUUCAUGCUAUUAUCUUGUCAAACUUUGGAUGUUUUGCAUGCCUUUUGUAUAUAUUUUUGGGACUAACUUAUUAACUCAGUGUCAAGUGCGAGUUCGUAUUUUUUCCAUGUUUUUGACCCCUUUCAGAGGAGGAUUUUGAACGGAGUCCAAAUGAAACGAAACUGCCAAAAAGAUUUUUUCCGAAACAGAAAAAGAUCGGGAAGCCUGAGAAUCAGGGCACGGGGCCUGCAGGGACCCCACAAGCCCCCUAGCCGCGGCCAGGGGGGCCCGCGCCUCCCUGGCUUGUGGGCUCCCUGGGCCACCUCUGCCCUAGGGCUUUCGCCCAUAAAUUCCCUAAAAUCCCAGAAAAAUCAGGAGAUCAUCGAAAGUACUUUUCCGCCGCCGCAAGCUUCUGUCUCCGCAAGAUCCUAUCUACGGCACAUUCUGGUGCCCUGUUGGAGGGGUGAUUCGGAUACGGAGGGCUUCUUCAUCAACACAAUGACUCCGAUGAUGUGUGAGUAGUUCACCAUAGACCUACGAGUCCAUAGCUAGUAUAUAGAUGGCUUCUUCUUUCUCUUGGAUCUUCAAUACAAAGUUCUCCAUGAUCUUCAUGGAGAUCUAUCCGAUGUAAUCUUCUUUUGCGGUGUGAUUGUCGAGAUCCGAUGAAUUGUGGAUUUAUGAUCAGAUUAUCUAUGAAUCUUAUUUGAGUUUCUUCUGGUCUCUCUUAUGCAUGAUUUCAUAUCCUUGUAAUUCUCUUCGAGUUGUGGGUUUUGUCUAGCCAACUAGAUCUAUGGUUCUUGCAAUGGGAGAAGUGCUUGGUUUUGGGUUCAUACCGUGCGGUGACUGUUGGGGAACGUCGCAUGGGAAACAAAAAAUUUCCUACGCACACGAAGACCUAUCAUGGUGAUGUCCAUCUACGAGAGGGGAUAUUCGAUCUACAUACCCUUGUAGAUCGCACAGCAGAAGCGUUAGUGAACACGGUUGAUGUAGUGGAACGUCCUCACAUCCCUCGAUCCGCCCCGCGAACCGUCCCGCGAUCAGUCCCACAAUCUAGUGCCAAACGGACGGCACCUCCGCGUUCAGCACACGUACAGCUCGACGAUGAUCUCGGCCUUCUUGAUCCAGCAAGAGAGACGGAGAGGUAGAUGAGUUCUCCGGCAGCGUGACGGCGCUCCGGAGGUUGGUGGUGAUCUUAUCUCAGCAGGGCUCCGCCCGAGCUCCGCAGAAACGCGAGCUAGAGGUAAAACCGUGGAGAUAUGUGGUCGGGCUGCCGUGGCAAAGUUGUCUCAAAUCAGCCCUAAAACCUCCGUAUAUACAGGGGGAAGAGGGGGAGACUUGCCUUGGGGUCCAAGGACCCCCAGGGGGUUCGGCCGAGCCAAAGGGGGUAACCCUCCCCUUCCAAACCGAGUCCAACUAGGUUUGGAAGGAGGAGUCCUUCCCCCUUUUCCCACCUCCUCUUUUUUUUUCUCUUUGAUUUUCUUCCUAUGGCGCAUAGGGCCUUCUUGGGCUGUCCCACCAGCCCACUAAGGGCUGGUGCGCCACCCCCAAGGCCUAUGGGCUUCCCCGGGGUGGGUUGCCCCCCCCCCCCGGUGAACACCCGGAACCCAUUCGUCAUUCUCGGUACAUUCCCGGUAACUGCGAAAUCCUUCUGGUAAUCAAAUGAGGUCAUCCUAUAUAUCAAUCUUCGUUUCCGGACCAUUCCGUAAACCCUCGUGACGUCCGUGAUCUCAUCCGGGACUCCGAAGAACAUUCGGUAACCAACCAUAUAACUCAAAUACGCAUAAAACAACGUCGAACCUUAAGUGUGCAGACCCCGCGGGUUCGAGAACUAUGUAGACAUGACCCGAGAGACUCCUCGGUCAAUAUCCAAUAGCGGGACCUGGAUGCCCAUAUUGGAUCCUACAUAUUCUACGAAGAUCUUAUCAUUUGAACCUCAGUGCCAAGGAUUCAUAUAAUCCCGUAUGUCAUUCCCUUUGUCCUUCGGUAUGUUACUUGCCCGAGAUUCGAUCGUCAGUAUCCGCAUACCUAUUUCAAUCUCGUUUACCGGCAAGUCUCUUUACUCGUUCCGUAAUACAAGAUCCCGCAACUUACACUAAGUCACAUUGCUUGCAAGGCUUGUGUGUGAUGUUGUAUUAUCGAGUGGGCCCCGAGAUACCUCUUCGUCACAUGGAGUGACAAAUCCCAGUCUUGAUCCAUACUAACUCAACGAACACCUUCGGAGAUACCUGUAGAGCAUCUUUAUAGUCACCCAGUUAUGUUGCGACGUUUGAUACACACAAAGCACUCCUCCGGUGUGAGUGAGUUAUAUGAUCUCAUGGUCAUAGGAACAAAUACUUGACACGUAGAUAACAGUAGCAACUAAAUGACACGAUCAACAUGGUACGUCUAUUAGUUUGGGUCUAGUCCAUCACAUGAUUCUCCUAAUGAUGUGAUCCCGUUAUCAAGUGACAACACUUGCCUAUGGUCAGGAAACCUUGACCAUCUUUGAUCAAUGAGCUAGUCAACUAGAGGCUUUACUAGGGACAGUGUUUUGUCUAUGUAUCCACACAUGCACUGUGUUUCCAAUCAAUACAAUUAUAGCAUAGAUAAUAAACGAUUAUCAUGAACUAAGAAAUAUAAUAAUAACUAAUUUAUUAUUGCCUCUAGGGCAUAUUUCCAACAGUCUCCCACUUGCACUAGAGUCAAUAAUCUAGUUCACAUCACCAUGUGAUUCCAACGAAUCCAACACCCAUAUAGUUAUGGGGUCUGAUCACGUCUUGCUCGUGAGAGAGGUUUCAGUCAACGGUUCUGAAACUUUCAGAUCCGUGUGUUCUUUACAAAUCUUUAUGUCAUCUUAUAGAUGCUGCUACUAUGUGCUAUUCGGAAAUGCUCCAAAUAUCUACUCUACUAUACGAAUCCGUUUCACUACUCAUAGUUAUUCGGAUUAGUGUCAAAGCUUGCAUCGACGUAACCCUUUACGACGAACUCUUUAACCACCUCCAUAAUCGAGAAAAAUUCCUUAGUCUAUUCAGUUACUAAGGAUAACUUUGACCGCUGAUCAGUGAUUCAAUCCUGGAUCACUAUGUGUACCUCUUAACAGACUUGCUGCAAGGCACACAGUCAGGUGCGGUACUCAGCAUGGCAUACUUUAGAGUCUACGGCUAAGGCAUAGAAGGCGACCUUCGUCUAUUCUCUUUAUUCUGCCGAGGUCGGGUUUUGAGUCUUACUCAAAUUUACGCCUUACAACGCAACCAAGAACUCCUUCUUUGUUGAUCUAUUUUGAACUCCUUCAAAAACUUGUCAAGGCAUGCACCUUGUUGAAACUUCUAUUAAGCGCUUUCGAUCUAUCUCCAUAGAUCUUUGAUGCUCAACGUUCAAGUAGCUCAACCCAGAUAUUCCUUUGAAAAACUCCUUUCAAACAACCUUUUAUGCUUCACAGAAAUUCUACAUUACUUCUGAUCCAUAAUAUGUCAACCACAUAUGCUUAUCAGAAAUUCUAUAGUGCUCCCACUCACUUCUUUGGAAAUACAAGUUUCUCAUAAACCUUGUACAAACCCAAAAUCUUUGAUCAUCUCAUCAAAGUGUAUAUUCCAACUCCGAGAUGCUUGCACCAGUCCAUUGAAGGAUCACUGGAGCUUGCAUACUAGCUAGUAUCUUUAGGAUCGACAAAACCUCCUGGUUGUAUCACAUACAAUGUUUGCUCAAGGAAACCGUCGAGGAAACAAUGUUUUGACAUCCUACGUGCAAUAUUUCAUAAAUAAUGCAGCAACUACUAACAUAAUUCUAAUAGACUUUUAGCAUCACUACGAGUGACAAAGUCUCAUCAUAGUCAACUGUUUGAACUUGUCGGAAACAUCUUUGCGACAAGUCGAGCUUUUCUUAAUAGUGACUUAUCACCAUCAUCGUCUGUCUUCCUUUUAAAGAUCCAUCUUUACUCAAUAGUCCUAUGACCAUCAAGUAGUUCUUCCAAAGUCAACACUUUGUUUUCAUACAUGGAUCCUCUCUCGGAUUUCAUGGCUUCCAGCCAUUUGUCGGAAUCCGGGCCCACCAUUGCUUUCUCCAUAACUUGUAGGUUCAUUGUUGCUCAACAACAUGACCUCCAAGACAGGGUUACCGUACCACUCUGCAGUAGUACGCGACCUUGUCAACCUACGAGGCUUGUAGUAACUUGAUCCGAUGCUCGAUGAUCACCAUCAUCAGCUUUCACUUCAAUUGGUGUAGGCGCCACGGGAACAACUUCCUGCGCCCUGCUACACACUGGUCGAAGUGAUAGUUCAAUAACCUCAUCAAGUUCUACCACCCUCCCACUCAAUUCUUUCGAGAGAAACCUUUCCUCGAGAAAGGAUCCGUUUCUAGAAACAAACACUUUGCUUUCGGAUCUGAGAUAGGAGAUGUACCCAACUGUUUUGGAUAUCCUAUGAAGAUGCAUUUAUCCGCUUUUGGGUUCGAGCUUAUCAGACUGAAACUUUUUCACAUAAGUGUCGAAGCCCCAAACUUUCAAGAAACGACAGUUUAGAUUUCUCUAAACCUCAGUCUAUACUAUGUCAUCUCAACGGAAAUAUGCGGUGCCCUAUUUAAAGUGAAUGCAGUUGUCUCUAAUGCAUAACCCAUAAACGAUAGUGGUAAUUCGAUAAGAGACAUCACAACAUGCACCAUACCAAAUAGUGCGUGGCUAUGACGUUCAGACACAUCAUCACACUAUGAUGUUCCAGGUGGCAUGAACUGCGAAACAAUUUCCACAUUGUCUUAACUGCGUACCAAAACUCGUAACUCAGAUAUUCAUUUCUAUGAUCAUAUCGUAGACAGUUUAUCCUCUUGUUACGACGAACUUCACUCCGAAACAGAAUUGAACUUUUCAAUAUUUCAGACUUGUGAUUCAUUAAGUAAAUACUCUUGUAUCUGCUCAAAUCGUCAUUGAAGUAAGAACAUAAUGAUAUCCACUGCGCGCCUCAGCACCCAUUGGACUGCAUACAUCAAAAUGUAUCACUUCCAACAAGUUACUAUCUUGUUUCAUCUCAAUGAAAACAAGGCCUUGCUCAUGUGGUAUGAUUUGCAUGUCACUAGUGAUUCAAAAUCAAGUGAGUAUAAAGAUCCAUCAGCAUGGAGCCUCUUCAUGCAAUUUAUACCAACAUGACUCAAGCGGCAGUGCCACAAGUAAGUAGUACUAUCAUCAUUACCUCGUAUCUUUUGGCACCAAUAUCAUGAACAUGUGUAACACUACGAUCGAGAUUCAAUAAACCAUUGAAGGUGAUUAUUCAAGCAAAUAGAGUAACCAUUAUUCUCUUUAAAUGAAUAACCGUAUUGCAAUAAACACGAUCCAAUAAUGUUCAUGCUUAACGCAAGCACCAAAUAACAAUUAUUUCGGUUUAACACCAAUUCCGAUGGUAGAGGGAGCGUGCGACGUUUUGAUCAUAUCAAUCUUGGAAACACUUCCAACACGCAUCGUCACCUCGCCUUUAGCUAGUCUCCGUUUAUGCCGUAGCUAUCAUUUCGUGUUACUAAUAACUUAGCAACCGAACCGGUAUCCAAUACCCUCAUGCUACUAGGAGUACUUGUAAAGUACACAUCAACAUCAUGUAUAUCAAAUAUACUUCUUUUGACUUUUGCCAGCCUUCUUAUCUACCAAGUAUCUAGAGUUGCUCCCCCUCAGUGACUAUUCCCCUCAUUACAGAAGCACUUAGUCUCGGGUUUGGGUUUAAUUUUGGGUCUCUUCAUUAGUGCAGCAACUGUUUUGCCGUUUCACGAAGUAUCCCUUCUAGCCGUUGCCUUUCUUGAAACUUAGUGGUUUUACUAACCAUCAACUAUUGAUGCUCCUUCUUGAUUUCUACUUUCGCAGUGUCAAACAUCGUGAAUCGCUCAAGGAUCAUUGUAUCUAUCCUUGAUAUGUUAUAGUUCAUCACGAAGCUCUCACAGCUUGGUGGCAGUGACUUUGGAGAACCAUCACUAUCUCAUCUGGAAGAUUAACUCCCACUUGAUUCAAGCGAUUGUCGUACUCAGACAAUCUGAGCACACGCUCAACGAUUGAGCUUUUCUCCUUUACUUUGUGGACAAAGAAUCUUGUUGGAGGUCUCGUACCUCUUAACAAGGGCACAAGCAUAAAAUCACAAUUUCAUCUCUUUAGAACAUCACUUAUGUUCCGUGACGUUUUAAAACGUUUUCGGCCCCUUGCUUCUAAGCCAUUAAGUAUUUUGCACUGAACUAUCGUGUAGUCAUCAGAAACGUGUAUGUCGGAUGUUCACAGCAUCCACAGACGACGCUCGAGGUGCAGCACACCGAGUGGUGCAUUAGGGACAUAAGCCUUCUGCGCAACAACGAGGACAAUCCUCGGUUUUACAGACUUAGUCUGCAAAGUUUUCUACUAUCAACUUUCAACUAAAUUUUCUCUAGGAACAUAUAAAAACAGUAGAGCUAUAGCGCAAGCUACAUCGUAAUUCGCAAAGACCAUUAGACUAUGUUCAUGACAAUUAGUUCAAUUAAUCAUAUUACUUAAGAACUCCCACUCAAAAAGUACAUCUCUCUAGUCAUUUGAGUGGUACAUGAUCCAAAUCCACUAUCUCAAGUCCGAUCAUCACGUGAGUCGAGAAUAGUUUCAGUGAUAAGCAUCUCUAUGCUAAUCAUAUCAACUAUACGAUUCAUGCUCGACCUUUCGGUCUCAUGUGUUCCGAGGCCAUGUCUGCACAUGCUAGGCUUGUCAAGCUUAACCCGAGUGUUCCGCGUGUGCAACUGUUUUGCACCCGUUGUAUGUGAACGUUGAGUCUAUCACACCCGAUCAUCACGUGGUGUCUCGAAACGAAGAACUGUCGCAACGGUGCACAGUCGGGGAGAACACAAUUUCGUCUUGAAAUUUUAGUGAGAGAUCACCUCAUAAUGCUACCGUCGUUCUAAGCAAGAUAAGGUGCAUAAAGGAUUAACAUCACAUGCAAUUCAUAAGUGACAUGAUAUGGCCAUCAUCAUGUGCUUCUUGAUCUCCAUCACCAAAGCACCGGCACGAUCUUACUGUCACCGGCGUCACACCAUGAUCUCCAUCAUCAUGAUCUCCAUCAACGUGUCGCCAUCGGGGUUGUCGUGCUACUCAUGCUAUUACUACUAAAGCUACGUCCUAGCAAUAUAGUAAACGCAUCUGCAAGCACAAACAUUAGUUUAAAGACAACCCUAUGGCUCCUGUCGGUUGUCGUACCAUCGACGUGCAAGUCGAUAUUAACUAUUACAACAUGAUCAUCUCAUACAUCCAAUAUAUCACAUCACAUCGUUGGCCAUAUCACAUCACAAGCAUACUGUGCAAAAACAAGUUAGACGUCCUCUAAUUUUGUUGUUGCAUGUUUUACGUGGUGACCAUGGGUAUCUAGUAGGAUCGCAUCUUACUUACGCAAACACCACAACGGAGAUAUAUGAGUUGCUAUUUAACCUCAUCCAAGGACCUCCUCGGUCAAUUCUGAUUCAACUAAAGUUGGAGAAACUGACACUUGCCAGUCAUCUUUGAGCAACGGGGUUACUCGUAGCGAUGAAACCAGUCUCUCGUAAGCGUACGAGUAAUGUCGGUCCAAGCCGCUUCAAUCCAACAAUACCGCGGAAUCAAGAAAAGACUAAGGAGGGCAGCAAAACGCACAUCACCGCCCACAAAAACUUUUGUGUUCUACUCGAGAAGACCUCUACGCAUGAACCUAGCUCAUGAUGCCACUGUUGGGGAACGUCGCAUGGGAAACAAAAAUUUUCCUACGCACACGAAGACCUAUCAUGGUGAUGUCCAUCUACGAGAGGGGAUAUUCGAUCUACGUACCCUUGUAGAUCACACAGCAGAAGCGUUAGUGAACGCGGUUGAUGUAGUGGAACGUCCUCACGUCCCUCGAUCCGCCCCGCGAACCGUCCCGCGAUCAGUCCCACGAUCUAGUGCCGAACGGACGGCACCUCCGCGUUCAGCACACGUAUAGCUCGACGAUGAUCUCGGCCUUCUUGAUCCAGCAAGAGAGACGGAGAGGUAGAUGAGUUCUCCGGCAGCGUGAUGGCACUCUGGAGGUUGGUGGUGAUCUUAUCUCAGCAGGGCUCCGCCCGAGCUCCAUAGAAACGCGAUCUAGAGGUAAAACCGUGGAGAUAUGUGGUCGGGCUGCCGUGGCAAAGUUGUCUCAAAUCAGCCCUAAAACCUCCGUAUAUAUAGAGGGAAGAGGGGGAGCCUUGCCUUGGGGUCCAAGGACCCCCAAGGGGUUCGGCCGAGCCAAAGGGGGGAACCCUCCCCUUCCAAACCGAGUCCAACUAGGUUUGGAAGGAGGAGUCCUUCCCCCUUUUCCCACCUCCUCUUUUUUUUCUUUUCUCUUUGAUUUUCUUCCUAUGGCGCAUAGGGCCUUCUUGGGCUGUCCCACCAGCCCACUAAGGGCUGGUGCGCCACCCCCAAGGCCUAUGGGCUUCCCCGGGGUGGGUUGCCCCCCCCCUGGUGAACACCCGGAACCCAUUCGUCAUUCCCGGUACAUUCCCGGUAACUCCGAAAUCCUUCCGGUAAUCAAAUGAGGUCAUCCUAUAUAUCAAUCUUCAUUUCCGGACCAUUCCGGAAACCCUCAUGACGUCCGUGAUCUCAUCCGGGACUCCGAACAACAUUCGGUAACCAACCAUAUAACUCAAAUACGCAUAAAACAACGUCGAACCUUAAGUGUGCAGACCCUACGGGUUCGAGAACUAUGUAGACAUGACCCGAGAGACUCCUCGGUCAAUAUCCAAUAGCGGGACCUGGAUGCCUAUAUUGGAUCCUACAUAUUAUACGAAGAUCUUAUCGUUUGAACCUCAGUGCCAAGGAUUCAUAUAAUCCCGUAUGUCAUUCCCUUUGUCCUUCGGUAUGUUAAUUGCCCGAGAUUCGAUCGUCAGUAUCCGCAUACCUAUUUCAAUCUCGUUUACCGGCAAGUCUCUUUACUCGUUCCGUAAUACAAGAUCCCGCAACUUACACUAAUUCACAUUGCUUGCAAGGCUUGUGUGUGAUGUUGUAUUACCGAGUGGGCCCCGAGAUACCUCUCCGUCACACGGAGUGACAAAUCCCAGUCUUGAUCCAUACUAACUCAACGAACACCUUCGGAGAUACCUGUAGAGCAUCUUUAUAGUCACCCAGUUACGUUGCAACGUUUGAUACACACAAAGCACUCCUCCGGUGUUAGUGAGUUAUAUGAUCUCAUGGUCAUAGGAACAAAUACUUGACACGCAGAAAACAGUAGCAACAAAAUGACACGAUCAACAUGCUACGUCUAUUAGUUUGGGUCUAGUCCAUCACAUGAUUCUCCUAAUGAUGUGAUCCCGUUAUCAAGUGACAACACUUGCCUAUGGUCAGGAAACCUUGACCAUCUUUUAUCAACGAUCUAGUCAACUAGAGGCUUUACUAGGGACAGUGUUUUGUCUAUGUAUCCACACAUGCACUGUGUUUCCAAUCAAUACAAUUAUAGCAUGGAUAAUAAACGAUUAUCAUGAACUAAGAAAUAUAAUAAUAACUAAUUUAUUAUUGCCUCUAGGGCAUAUUUCCAACAGUGACCUCACCCAGUGAUAGAAGGGGUAGCGAGGCACGCAUCGUGUUGUUGCCAUCAAGGGUAAAAAGAUGGGGUUUUCAUCAUUGGUUUGAGAUUAUCCCUCUACAUCAUGUCAUCUUGCUUAAAGCGUUACUCUGUUCAUCAUGAACUCAAUACACUAGAUGCAUGCUGGAUAGCGGUCGAUGUGUGGAGUAAUAGUAGUAGAUGCAGAAAGUAUCGGUCUACUUGUGUUGGACGUGAUGCCUAUAUGUAUGAUCAUUGCCUUAGAUAUCGUCAUGACUUUGCGCGGUUCUAUCAAUUGCUCGACAGUAAUUUGUUCACCCACCGUAAUAUUUGCUAUUUUGAGAGAAGCCUCUAGUGAACACUAUGGCCCCCGGGUCUACUCCACACCAUAUUUUUAGCCUUACACUUUUACUUCAUUGCCCGCCUUCAUAUCUCACUUUGCAAUCAAUCUUGAAGGGAUUGACAACCCCUUUUAAUCGUUGGGUGCAAGCUCUUUGUGUUUGUGCAGGUACUCUGGACUUGACGAGAUUCUCCUACUAGAUUGAUACCUUGGUUCUCAAACUGAGGGAAAUACUGAUGACCCACAAGUAUAGGGGAUCAAUCGUUGUCCUUUCGAUAAGUAAGGGUGUCGAACCCAACGAGGAGCAGAAGGAUCUGACAAGUGGUUUUCAGCAAGGAAAAAUCUGCAUGCACUGAAAUUGUCGGUAACAAGUGAUUGUGUGGUGAGAUGAUUCGUAGCAAGCAACAAGUAACAAAAGUAGCAACAGUGCAGCAAAGUGGCCCAAUCCCUUUUGUAGCAAGGGACAAGCCUGGACAAAGUCUUAUAGGAGGAAAAACGCUCCUGAGGACACACGGGAAUUUCUGUCAUGCUAGUUUUCAUCAUGUUCAUAUGAUUCACGUUCGUUACUUUGAUAGUUUGAUAUGUGGGUGGACCGGCGCUUGGAUACUGCCCUUACUUGGACAAGCAUCCCAUGUAUGAUUAACCCCUCUCGCAAGCAUCCGCAACUACGAAAGAAGAAUUAAGACAAAGUCUAACCAUAGCAUUAAACUAGUGGAUCCAAAUCAACCCCUUACGAAGUAACGCAUAAACUAGGGUUUAAGCUUCUGUCACUCUAGCAACCCAUCAUCUACUUACUACUUCCCAAUGCCUUCCUCUAGGACCAAAUAAUGGUGAAAUGUUAUGUAGUCGACGUUCACAUAACACCACUAGAGGAAAAACAACAUACAACAUAUCAAAAUACCGAACGAAUACCAAAUUCACAUGACUAUUAUUAGCAUGACUUAUCCCAUGUCCUCGGGAACAAAAGUAACUACUCACAAAGCAUAAUCAUAAUCAUGAUCAGAGGUGUAAUGAGUAGCAUCAAGGAUCUGAAUAUAAUCUCUUCCACCAAAUAAUCCAACUACCAUCAACUACAAAGAGUAAUCAACACUACUAGAAACCUUACAAGUACCAAUCGGAGUCGCGAGACGGAGAUUGGUUACAAGUGAUGAACUAGGGUUUGGAGAUGAGAUGGUGCUAAUGAAGAUGUUGAUGGAGAUGAGUCCCCUCCGAUGAGAGGAGUGUUGGUGAUGACGAUGGCGACGAUUUCCCCCUCCGAGAGGGAAGUUUCCCCGGCAGGAUCGUCCUGCCGGAGCUCUAGAUUGGUUAUGCUCAAGUUCUGCCUCGUGGCGGCGGCGAAACCAAGAAAAAGCUCCCUUCCCAUUUUUUCCUGGUCGAAACCCUCCAUAUAGCAAAAGAGGGGGGCAAGUGGGCCAGCAGGGUGCCCACAAGCCCCCAUGGCGUGGCCUGGGGGGGGGGUGGUCGCGCCGUGCAGGCUUGUGGCCACCCCCUGGCGCUCCUCUGGCACUUCUUCGUCCUAGUAUUUUUUAUAUAUUGGUAAAAAAUCUCCGUUGAUUUUCACGACGUUUGGAGUUGCGCAGAAUAGGUAUCUCAACUUUGCUCCACUUUCAUGCGAGAAUUCCAAUUGUCGGUAUUCUCCCUCUUCAUGUAAACCUUAUAAAAUAAGAUAGAAAAGGCAUAAGAAUAGUAUCGUGAAGUGAAAUAAUAGCCAAAGAAGCGAUAAAUAUCAAAGUGAAAACAUGAUGCAAAAUGGACGUAUCAACUCCGCCAAGCUUAGACCUCGCUUGUCCUCAAGCGAAAGCCGAGCUCAAUAAAUAUGUCCACAUGUUUAGGGAGAGAGGUGUCGACAAAACAAGAUACGAACAUGCAUGCAUCAUGAUCAUGAUCAGAACAGCAAUACAAACAUAUAAUCUCUCAUGCUAAAGUGAUAAUUCCUUCACAAAGUAAUACAUGGAUCAAGAACCUUACCGAGAAGUAACAACCGAUAGCCUUUAGUCAUUGAAGCAAUUCUAAUUUAUCACAACAUUAGAAAGAGUCAAAUAAGAGCUUGUAAAGAAAAUCCACAUACUCAAUCAUUCUUUCGUUCUCUACAAUUGCUACAACUCACGUGGUACUCAUGAGAUCAAAGUUUCAGCUGAACACAGAGAAAGAUAGGGGCUUAUAUUUGCCUCCCAACUGCUUACCUCAAGGGUAAUGUCAACAAUAAUAAUUCAUGAAUACUUACCUCCAAGUUGACAUAUGAAUAUAGAUCUUUCCCAAGCAUGUGACGGUAGCCAAGACAAAGGCAAAAUAAGCAAUUGGUGAAGAUCACCAUGACUCUUUCAAGGGCAAAAAAGUAAAAGUACAAGAUAGGCCCUUCGCAGAGGGAAGCAGAGGUUGUCAUGCGCUUUUGAGGUUUGGAUGCAUGUCCUCUUAGUGCAGAGGAACGUCACUUUAUAUUGCCCCCUGUGAUAAAGAACUUUAUUAUGCAGUCUGUCACUUUUAUGUCUUCCUCAUCACAGGUUCGUAUAAAGCUUAUUUUCCACACACUAAUAGAUCAUACAUAUUAGAGAGAAAUUUUAUUGCUUGCACCGAUGACAACUUACUUGAGGGAUCUUAUUCAAUCCAUAGGUAGGUAUGGUGGACACUCAUGGCAAAACUGGUUUGAAGGUUUACGGAUGCACAAGUAGUAUCUCUACUUAGUGCGGGAGUUUUGGCUAAUGUGAGGUGGAACCAAUCGUCACAUGCUAAGAGAUCUCUAAUCAUAUAGCAUUGUUCAGAGCCAAGCAAACACAAUCCAUUACGUUGUCUUCCUUGUCCAACAUCUACUUCUACGCAUGUAAUAGUUUAGUGAGUGUUCACAAUCAUAGGUGGUGUGAGAGAUGAUAUAUUUAUAUGUGAACCUCUCCUUCUUUAUCACUUCCUAUUAAUUGCAACAAUGACCAAGGUCUACGUUUGCCUACCCUCAACAAGUUUCAAUCCUCAUUCUUUUUAUAUGUGAAGCCAUCACUUCCCAUAAGAUCAUUACAUGAUCUUUCAUGCUUUUGUUCUAUUCUCACUCUUUGAUCAUGGCAAGAGGCAAAGCCCUUCAACUAAGACACUCUUUAUUAUAAGGCUCACGAGCAAGAAUACAUCGGGGAUGACACAAGGCAAAACUCAAGACUAAAACACUAAUACUUUACUUCACUAGAAAAGAGAAAACUGAAAAGGAAAACUAAAACAAAGGUAAAAGCAAAAGAUGUGAUGGUGAUACGAUACCGGGGCAACUCCCCCAAGCUUGGCAAAAGCCAAGGGGAUUGCCCAUACCAAUGCUAAGUUGUCUUCCUUUGGUGGUGAUGGUGGAGUUGUUGCAACAUGAGUUUGAUCCUCCGUCUUCCAAGGCAUAGGUGCUCCAUCAUGGAAGGAUGAACGAGUCGCCGGAAUCCCCAAAUCUGCAGCCAACCGUAUUGAUUUAAAUCUAUACUCAUACUCACAGUUUUGGUUCUGCAGGUCAUAGAUCUGGCCCUGGAGUUGAUCAACCCUGUCAUAGAGACCGGAGAGGUGCUUCUCAAUGUCAUUGGCAUCCAUCUUGUGCUUGUUGGUGAACUUCGUGAUCAUCAUGUGGUUGGCAUUGAGUCCACGCUCCAUCAUCCCUUGACACUUGAAGACUUAUUGCUCCAUUGCUUCGAGCCUCGUCUCCAUGCUUCCGGUCUUCUUAGGCCCCUCAACAUCACGGAUGUGCAACAUCCCCUCAGGCAUCCCAGUAGAUUGAGGGUGUUGCAGCACUUCCGUGAGGUAGGGAUUGAUGACCUUCUCGAAGAUCUUGUCCUUAGGAGCUUUUGGGGAAGUCAUGGCGAUCUAGAUCUGCAACAGAAACAGGCUCGAAACGAAAAACAGAGGAAAUCUGCGUGAUACGGGAUCAAACCAAACGAAAGUAUAUAUAAUGAUUUUUUUCAGACCAGAAGGAGUCCCCUGCACAAAAACGGAGUCCGGGAGGCGCAUGAGGUGGCCACAAGCCCUCACGGCAUGGCCAGGGGGUGGGACCGCGCCGUGCACGCUUGUCGCCUCAUCAUGCACUAUCCUGACUACUUCCAUUUUUUGUAUUUUUUCAAAUAUUCCAAAACGGAGAAAAUUUCCUAUUGGAAAAGUUUUGGACUCUGAUUUCUUACCAAAACACAUACCUCUUCGUUUUCGGAGUCUGAAACAGGCUGAUAAAUAUCCCUUAGGUAUUCUUCCGGAGUUAUGGUAUUGAUGAUAUUGCUUUCAACAUUUAUGGGAGUACGUGAGAUAUAAUGCUUGAUUCUCUGCCCAUUUACCACUCUCAGACAAUUACCUUCCGUGUUGUUGAUCUUGAUAGCACCGGAACGAUAUACUUCCUCAACAACAUAGGGACCUUCCCAUUUAGAGAGAAGCUUGCCUGCAAAGAAUCUUAAACGAGAGUUAUAUAGCAAGACAUAAUCACCUACAUUGAACUCACGCUUUUGUAUCCUCUUAUCAUGCCACCUCUUAACCUUCUCUUUGAAGAGCUUGGCAUUCUCAUAUGCUUGGGUUCUCCACUCAUCAAGCGAGCUAAUGUCAAAUAACCUCUUCUCACCGGCAAGUUUGAAAUCAAAGUUGAGGUCUUUGAUUGGCCAAUAAGCUUUAUGCUCUAGCUCAAGAGGUAAGUGACAUGCUUUACCGUACACCAUUUUGUACGGAGACGUGCCCAUGGGAUUCUUAUAGGAAGUUCUAUAAGCCCACAGUGCAUCAUCGAGCUUCUUAGACCAAUUCUUUCUAGACCUGUUGACAGUCUUUUGCAGAAUUAGUUUAAUCUCUCUGUUGCUUAGCUCUACUUGACCACUGGACUGAGGGUGGUAGGGAGACGCAAUUCUAUGGUUGACAUCGUACUUAGCAAGCGUUUUACGGAAAGCACCAUGAAUGAAGUGUGAACCACCGUCAGUCAUCAGAUAUCUAGGGACUCCAAAUCUGGGGAAGAUAACUUCUUUCAGCAUCUUGAUAGAGGUGUUGUGAUCAGCACUACUAGUAGGGAUAGCUUCUACCCACUUAGUGACGUAAUCAACAGCAACCAAGAUGUGAGUAUACCCACUGGAUUUUGGAAAAGGUCCCAUAUAAUCAAAGCCCCAAACAUCAAAUGGUUCAAUGACAAGUGAAUAGUUCACAGGCAUUUUCUGACGUUUGCUAAUAUUACCUAUUCUUUGACAUUCGUCACAAGACAAGACAAACUUACGGGUAUCCUUGAAGAGAGUGGGCCAAUAGAAACCUGAUUGCAAUACCUUGUGUGCAGUUCUGUCUCCUGCAUGGUGUCCUCCGUAGGCCUCGGAGUGACACUUCUGUAGGAUCUUCCCUGCUCAUGUUCAGGUACACAACAUCUAAUAACACCAUCUACUCCUUCCUUAUAAAGGUGGGGAUCAUCCAAAAGUAGUGUCUCAAGUCAAAGAAGAACUUUUUCUUUUGCUGGUACGUGAAACUAGGUGGUAUGUAGUUGGCAACGAUAUAGUUUGCAUAAUCAGCAUACCACGAUGCACUACAUGAAGCAUUGAUGACAUUCAAUUGCUCAUCGGGAAAGCUAUCAUCAAUAGGUUGUGGGUCAUCAGGAACAUUCUCCAACCUAGACAAGUUAUCUGCUACUGGGUUAUCAGCACCCUUUCUGUCAACAACGUGCAGAUCAAAUUCUUGUAGCAAGAGAACCCAUCUGAUAAGUCUAGGUUUAGCGUCCUUCUUCUCCAUGAGGUACUUAAUAGCAGCGUGAUCAGUGUGAAUAAUGACUUUGGAAUCAACAAUGUAAGACCUGAACUUUUGAUACGCAAACACGACUUCUAAAAAUUCCUUCUCUGUAGUAGCAUAGUUUCUGUGGACACUGUCUAGAGUUUUACUAGCGUAGUGAAUAACAUUCAACUUCUUAUCAACUCUUUGCCCUAGAACAACACCAACAGCAUAAUCACUAGCGUCACACAUGAUCUCAAAAGGCAAGUUCCAAUCAGGUGGUUGAACAAUAGGUGCAGUUAUCAAAGCCCUCUUAAGUAUUUCGAAGGCUUCCUCACAAUCAUCGUCAAAAACAAAAGGAAUAUCUUUUUGCAAGAUAUUGGUAAGAGGCCUAGAAAUCAUAGAGAAGUCUUUGAUGAACCUUCUAUGGAAACCAGCAUGACCAAGGAAACUUCUUAUCCCUCUGAUAUCUGUGGGGUAUGGCAUUUUCUCGAUUGCAUCAACCUUUGCCUUAUCGACUUCAAUACCUCUUUCGGAAAUUUUAUGUCCUAAGACGAUGCCUUCAUUAACCAUAAAAUGGCACUUCUCCCAAUUCAAGACAAGAUUGGUGUCUUUACAUCUCUGCAAGACCCGAUCAAGGUUGAUGAGGCAAUCAUCAAAGGAAGACCCGUAAACGGAGAAGUCAUCCAUGAAAACCUCAACAAUCUUUUCACAAAAGUCAAAGAAUAUAGCCAUCAUACAUCUUUGAAAGGUGGCAGGUGCAUUACAUAAGCCAAAAGGCAUACGUCUAUAAGCAAAGUUACCGAAAGGGCAGGUGAAAGUGGUUUUCUCCUGAUCAGAUUGUGCAACUGGUAUUUGGGAGAAACCAGAAUAACCAUCUAGAAAGCAGAAGUGUGUGUGUUUGGAUAGUCUUUCUAGCAUUUGGUCGAUAAAAGGCAGCGGGUAAUGAUCUUUCCUAGUGGCCUUAUUCAACUUCCUAAAAUCAAUCACCAUCCUAUAGCCAGUAAUAAUCCUCUGUGGGAUCAACUCAUCCUUAUCACUAGGGACAACGGUAAUGCCUCCUUUCUUAGGAACGGAAUGCACCGGACUCACCCAAUCGCUAUGAGCAACAGGAUAGAUAAUACCCGCUUCUAGGAGCUUUGUAUUUCUUUUCUCACUACUUCUUUCAUCUUAGGAUUCAAUCUCCUUUGAUGAUCAGAAACUGGUUUGAAUUCAGGAUCAGUUUUGAUCUUGUGCUGGCAUAGAGUGGGACUAAUGCCCUUAAGAUCAUCAAGAGUAUAUCCUAUAGCAGCACGGUGCUCCCUCAGAGUUUUUAGUAACUUAUUUUCUUCCUGCUCUGAGAGGCUAGCACUAAUAAUAACAGGAUAUAUCUCCUUUUCAUCAAGAUAGGCAUACUUAAGAGUAUCAGGCAAGUGUUUAAGCUCGAACACAGGAUCACCCUUUGGUGGAGGUGGAUCCCCAAGCAGUUCAACAGGCAGAUUAUUCUUAAGGAUAGGAUAUUGUUCUAAGACAACUCUAUCUAUUUCAUCCCAUUCAUCCAUAUGCAUAUCAUUUUGAUUCUCAAGCAAGUAUUGCUCUAAGGGAUCAGUAGGAGGCAAGGCAAUAGAAGCUAAGGCAAUAGUUUCAUCCCUACUAGGCAACUCCUUUUCAUGAGGUUGUCUACCGAACUUAGAGAAAUUGAACUCAUGUGACACUCCUUCAAAGCCAACAGUGACAGUUUGCUUCUCACAAUCAAUAUGAGCAUUGAAAGUGUUGAGAAAAGGUCUACCAAAUAUGAUGGGACAAAAGCUAUCUUGAGCGGUAGCAAGAACGAGGAAAUCAGGAGGAUACUUCGUUUUACCACACAAGACUUCAACAUCCCUAACAAUUCCCACAGGGCAGAUAGUAUCUCUAUUGGCAAGCAGGAUAGUGACAUCUAUAGGUUCUAUGUCAACAGGUGCAAUCUCAUCUUUGAAUUCAUCGUAUAAGGAUUGAGGUAUUGCACUGACACUAGCACCCAAGUCACAUAAACCAUGAUAACAAUGAUCUCCUAUCUUAACAGAAACUACACGCAUGCCAACAACAUGCCUAUGCUUGUCUCUAACGCGAGGUUUAGCAAUUCUAGCAGCAUCUUCACAAAAGUGAAUAUUAUGUCCCUCAACUUCUUCAGACAGAAGAUCUUUGAUAAUAGCAAUGCUAGGUUCAACUCUAAUUUGCUCAGGGGGUGUAGGUGUUCUAAUGUAGCCUCUACGUAUCAUAGUUGAAGCUUUAGAAUGAUCCUUUAUCCUAACAAGGAAAGGUGGUUUCUCAAUGUAAGCACUGGGAACCACAGGAUCAUUAUAGGCAAUGACUUUCUCUUCAACUGGAGUGGGUUUAACUACAUUGACUUCUAUGGGAGGAUGAUAUUUAAACCACUUCUCUUUGGGGAGAUCAAUAUGAGCAGCAAAAUAUUCACGCAAUGAAGCUACUAUCUUAGAGUCAAGUCCAUACUUAGCGCUAAAGUCACAAAAAGUAUUUGUCUCAACAAAGGAUUUAACGCAAUCAAAAGUGAAAUUCAUACCUGACUCCUUAACUUCUUCAAGCUCCCAAUCUUCAGAGUUGCGUUUAAUUCUGUCCAAUAAAUUCCACUUGAAGUCAAUAUCUCUCUUCAUAAAAGAACCGGUACAAGAAGUGUCAAGCAUGGUGCGAUCAUCAUGAGAAAGCCGAGCAUAGAAGUUCUGAAUGAUAAUUUCUCUCGAGAGCUCAUGAUUGGGGCAUGAAUAUAGAAUUGAUUUAAGCCUCCCCCAAGCUUGAGCGAUGCUUUCUCUGUCACGAGGCCAAAAUUAUAAAUAUAAUUCUGAUCACGAUGUACUAAAUGCAUAGGAUAAAACUUUUGAUGAAAUUCCAAUUUCAACCGAAUGUAGUCCCAUGAUCCAGUAUCAUCACAUAGCCUAUACCAUGUCAACGCCUUAUCCUUCGAAGAUAAAGGAAAUACCUUCUUCUUGACCUCAUCCUCGGGCACACCUGCAAGCUUAAAUAAACCACAAACCUCAUCUACAUAGAUCAGAUGCAAGUCUGGAUGUGAUGCUCCAUCUCGUGUAAAAGGAUUAGCGAGCAGUUUCUCAAGCAUACGUGAAGGAAAUUCAAAGCAAAUAUUUUCAGUAGGUGCAGCAACUUGAGGAGCAACUCUUUGUGCUUCCGUUCGAGGUGAAUAUACCCCGAACAAGCUCCUCAAAGGAUUAGUAUCCAUAGUGACAAGUGACAAGAAAUUUCAGCAUACUAUAUGAAUGUUUCCUUACCAAGUUCCACUUACCAAAGGCGCUUCACCCUCCGGCAACGGCGCCAGAAAAGAGUCUUGAUGAACCAAAAGUAUAGAGGAUCAAUUGUAGUCCUUUCGAUAAGUAAGAGUGUCGAACCCAACCAGGGGCAGAAGGAUCUGACAAGUGGUUUUCAGCAAGGAAAAAUCUGCAAGCACUGAAAUUGUCGGUAACAAGUGAUUGUGUGGUGAGAUGAUUCGUAGGAAGUAACAAGUAACAAAAGUAGCAACGGUGCAGCAAAGUGGCCCAAUCCCUUUUGUAGCAAGGGACAAGCCUGGACAAAGUCUUAUAGGAGGAAAAACGCUCCCGAGGACACAACGGGAAUUUCUGUCAUGCUAGUUUUCAUCAUGUUCAUAUGAUUCGCGUUCGUUACUUUGAUAGUUUGAUAUGUGGGUGGACCGGCGCUUGGGUACGGCCCUUACUUGGACAAGCAUCCCACUUACUAUUAACCCCUCUCGCAACCAUCCGCAACUACGAAAGAAGAAUUAAGACAAAGUCUAACCAUAACGUUAAACUAGUGGAUCCAAAUCAUCCCCUUACGAUGUAACACAUAAACUAGUGUUUAAGCUUCUGUCACUCUAGCAACCCAUCAUCUACUUACUACUUCCCAAUGCCUUCCUCUAGGCCCAAAUAAUGGUGAAGUGUUAUGUAGUCGACAUUCACAUAACACCACUAGAGGAAAAACAACAUACAACAUAUCAAAAUACCGAACGAAUACCAAAUUCACAUGACUAUUAUUAGCUUGACUUAUCCCAUGGCCCCAGGAACAAAAGUAACUAAUCACAAAGCAUAAUCAUAAUCAUGAUCAGAGGUUUAAUGAGUAGCAUCAAGGACCUGAACAUAAUCUCUUCCACCAAAUAAUCCAACUAGCACCAACUACAAAGAUCAAUCAACACUACUAGCAACCUUACAAGUACCAAUCGGAGUCGCAAGACGGAGAUUGGUUACAAGUGAUGAACUAGGGUUUGGAGAUGAGAUGGUGUUGAUGAAGAUGUUGAUGGAUAUGAGUCCCCUCCGAUGAGAGGAGUGUUGGUGAUGACGAUGGCGACGAUUUCCCCCUCCGGGAGGGAAGUUUCCCCGGCAGGAUCAUCCUGCCGGAGCUCUAGAUUGGUUCUACUCAAGUUCCGCCUCGUGGCAGCGGCGAAACCAUGAAAAAGCUCGCUUCUCAUUUUUUCCUGGACGAAACCCUCCAUAUAGCAAAAGAGGGGGGAAAGUGGGCCAGCAGGGUGCCCACAAGCCCCCAUGGCGCGACCUGGGGGGGUGGUCGCGCCGUGCAGGCUUGUGGCCACCCCCUGGCGCUCCUAUGGCACUUCCUCGGCCCAAUAUUUUUUAUAUAUUGGGAAAAAAAUCUCCUUUGAUUUUCAGGACGUUUGGAGUUGCGCAGAAUAGGUAUCUCAACUUUGCUCCACUUUCAGGCCAGAAUUCCAGUUGCCGGUAUUCUCCCUCUUCAUGUAAACCUUGCAAAAUAAGAGAGAAAAGACAUAAGAAUAGUACCGUGAAGUGAAAUAACAGCCAAAGAAGCGAUAAAUAUCAACGUGAAAAUAUGAUGCAAAAUGUACGUAUCAAAUACUUCUCAUGUGCUUCAUCACCCUUUCCUCUUCAAGGGAAAAACCGACGCAAGCAAAUCUCCGUCAACGUGUCAAUUUUUGGCGCUCUUGUUUGAGAAGUAGCAUCGACUUAAAUACCUCUUUCAGAAAUUUUAUGUCCUAAGACGAUGCCUUCAUUAACCAUAAAGUGGCACUUCUCCCAAUUCAAGACAAGGUUGGUAUCUUUACAUCUCUGCAAAACUCGAUCAAGGUUGCUAAGGCAAUCAUCAAAAGAAGACCCGUAAACGGAGAAGUCAUCCAUGAAAACCUCAACAAUCUUUUCACAAAAGUCAGAGAAUAUAGCCAUCAUAUAUCUUUGAAAGGUAGCAGGUGCAUUACAUAAGCCAAAAGGCAUACGUCUGUAGGCAAAUGUACCGAAAGGGCAGGUAAAAGUGGUUUUCUCCUGAUUAGAUUGUGCAACAGGUAUUUGGGAGAAACCAGAAUAACCAUCUAGAAAGUAGAAGUGUGUGUGUUUAGACAAUCUUUCUAGUAUUUGGUCAAUAAAAGGCAAAGGGUAAUGAUCUUUCCUAGUGGCUUUAUUCAAUUUCCUAAAAUCAAUUACCAUCCUAUAGCCAGUAAUAAUUCUCUAUGGGAUCAAUUCAUCUUUAUCAUUAGGGACAAUGGUAAUACCUCCCUUCUUAGGGACGCAAUGCACCAGACUUACCCAAUCACUAUGAGCAACAUGAUAGAUAAUACCUGCUUCUAGGAGCUUUAGUAUUUCUUUUCUUACUACCUCUUUCAUCUUAGGAUUUAAUCUCCGUUGAUGAUCGGCAACUGGUUUGGAAUCAGGAUCGGUUUUAAUUUUAUGCUCGCAUAGAGUGAGACUAAUGCCCUUAAGAUCAUCAAGAGUAUAUCCAAUAGCAGCACGGUUCUUCCUCAGAGUUUUCAAUAAUUUCUUUUCUUCAUGCUCUGAAAGUCUAGCACUAAUAAUAACAGGAUAUAUCUAUUUUUCAUCAAGAUAAGCAUACAUAAGAGUAUCAGGUAACUAUUUAAGCUCAAACAUAGGAUCACCCUUUGGUGGGGGUGGAUCUCCAAGCAGUUCAACAUGCAAAUUAUUCUUAAGGAUAGGAUGUUGUUCAAAGAUAACUCUAUCUAUCUCAUUCCUUUCAUCCAUAUGCAUAUCAUUUUCAUGCUCAAGCAAGUAUUGCUCUAAAGGAUCAGUAGGAGGCACAUCAAUAGAAGCUAGGGCAAUACUUUCAUCCUUACUAGACAAUUCUUUUUCAUGAGGUUGUCUACCAAACUUGGAGAAAUUGAAUUCAUGUGACACACCUUCAAAGCCAACAGUGACAGUUUGCUUCUCACAGUCAAUAUGAGCAUUGACAGUAUUGAGGAAAGGUCUGCCAAAUAUGAUGGGACAAAAGCUAUCUUGUGUGGUAGCAAGAACGAGAAAAUCAGCAGGAUACUUAGUUUUACCACACAAGACUUCAACAUCUCUAACAAUUCCCAAAGGGAAGAUAAUAUCUCUAUUGGCAAGCUGAAUAGUAACAUCAAUAGGUUCCAUCUCGACAGGUGCAAUCUCGUCUUUAAUUUCAUCAUAUAAAGAUCGAGGUAUUGCACUAACACUAGCACCCACGUCACAUAAACCAUGAUAACAAUGACCUCCUAUCUUAACAGAGACAAUAGGCAUGCCAACAACAGGCCCAUGUUUGUCUCUAGCAUGGGGUUUAGCAAUUCUAGCAGCAUCUUCACAGAAGUGAAUAUCAUGGCCAUCAACAUUGUCGAACAUGAGAUCUUUGAUAAUAGCAAUGCUAGGUUCAACUCUAAUUUGCUCAGGGGGUGUAGGUGUUCUAAUGUAGCCCUUACGUAUCACAGUUGGAGCUUUAGCAUGAUCCUUUAUUCUAACACAGAAGGGUGGUUUCUCAAUGUAAGCACUAGGAACAAUAGGAUCAUUGUAAGCAAUGACUUUCUCUUCAACUGGAUUGGGUUUAACUACAUUGACUUCUAUGGGAGGAUGAUAUUUAAACAACUUCUCUUUAGGGAGAUUAAUAUGAGCAGCAAAUGAUUCACAUAAUGAAGCUACUAUCUCAGAGUCAAGUCCAUGUUUAGCGCUAAAAUCACAAAAAGUAUUUGUUUCAACGAAGGAUUUAACGCAAUCGAACUUAAGAUUCAUACAUGACUCCUUACCUUCAUCAAACUCCCAAUCUUCAGAGUUGUGUUUAAUUCUUUCCAAUAAAUUCCAUUUGAAGUCAAUAUCUCUCUUCAUAAAAUAACCAGUACAAGAAGUGUCAAGCAUGGUGCGAUUAUCAUGAGAAAGCCGAGCAUAAAAGUUCUGAAUAAUAAUUUCUCUCGAAAGAUCAUGGUUGGGGCAUGAAUAUAACAUUGAUUUAAGCCUCCCCCAAGCUUGAGCGAUACUUUCUCUAUCACGAGUCCAAAAAUUAUAGAUACAAUUCCGAUCACGAUGUACCAAAUGCAUAGGAUAAAACUGUUGAUGAAAUUCUAAUUUCAGUCGGUUGUAGUUCCAUGAUCCAGUAUCAUCACAUAACCUAUACCAUGUCAAUGCUUUAUCCCUCAAAGAUAACGGAAAGACCUUCUUCUUGACCUCAUCCUCGGGCAAACCUGCAAGUAUAAAUAAACCACAAACUUCAUCUACAUAGAUUAGAUGCAAGUCACGAUGUGAUGUUCCAUCUCAUGUAAAGGGAUUACCCAACAGUUUCUCUAGCAUACCCGAAGGAAUUUCAUAACAAAUAUUUUCAGUAGGUGCAGUAGGUUGAGGAGCAACUCCUUGUGCUUCCGUUCGUGGUGAAGAUACCCCAAACAAGCUCCUCAAAGGAUUAGUUUCCAUAGUGACAAUAAAUUUUAGCACACUAUAUAAAUGUUUCCUUACCAAAUUCCACUUACCAAAGGCACUUCACUCCCUGGCAACGACGCCAGAAAAGAGUCUUGAUGACCCACACGUGUAGGGGAUCUAUUGUAGCCCUUUCGAUAAGUAAGAGUGUCGAACCCAACGAGGAGCAGAAGGAACUGACAAGUGGUUUUCACCAAGGUAUUCUGUGGACGCACUGAAAUUAUCGGUAACAGAUAGUUGUGUGAUAAGAUAAUUCGUAGCGAGUAGCAAGUAACAAUAGUAACAAAGGUGCAGAAAGAUGGCCCAAUCCCUUUUGUAGCAAGGGAAAAGCCUGGACAAACUCUUAUAUGAGGUGAAGCGCUCCCGAGGACACAUGUGAAUUUCUGUCAAUCUAGUUUUCAUCAUGUUCAUAUGAUUCGCGUUCGCUACUUUGAUAUUUUGAUAUGUGGGUGGACCGGUGCUUGGGUGCUUCCCUUACUUGGACAAACAUCCCACUUAUGAUUAACCCCUCUCGCAAGCAUCCGCAACUACGAAAGAAGAAUUAAGACUAAGCCUAACCAUAUCAUUAAACUAGUGGAUCCAAAUCAGCCCCUUACGAAGCAACGCAUAAACUAGGGUUUAAGCUUCUGUCACUCUAGCAACCCAUCAUCUACUUAUUACUUCCUAAUGCCUUCCUCUAGGCCCAAAUAAUGGUGAAGUGUCAUGUAGUCGACGUUCACAUAACAUCACUAGAGGAAAGACAACAUACAUCGCAUCAAAAUAUCGAACGAAUACCAAAUUCACAUGACUACUUAUAACAAGACUUAUCCCAUGUCCUCAGGAACAAAAGUGACUACUCACAAACCAUAAUUAUGUUCAUGGCCAGAGAGGUAUUGAAUAGCAUUAAGGAUCUGAACAUAUGAUCCUUCACCGAGUAAUCCAACUAGCAUCAACUACAAAGAGUAAUUAACACUACUAGCAACCUUACAAGUACCAAUCGGAGUCGCGAGACGGAGAUUGGUUACAAGAGAUGAACUGGGGUUUGGAGAUGAGAUGGUGCUGAUGAAGAUGUUGAUGGAGAUGAGCCCCCUCCGAUGAGAGGAGUGUUGGUGAUGACGAUGGCGACGAUUUCCCCCUCCGGGAGGGAAGUUUCCCCGGCAGGACGGCCCUGCCGGAGCUCUAGAUUGGUUCUGCUCAAGUUCCGCCUCGUGGCGCGGCGUCUCUUCCCGAAAGCCUCCUCCUGAUUUUUUCUGGGACGAAACCCUCCUUACAACAAAAGAUGGGAGCCGGAGGGGCAGCAGGGGGCCCACAAGCCACCCAGGCGCGGCGAGGGGGUAGGCCGCGCCUGGCAGGCUUGUGGCCUCCUGGUGGCUCCUCUCCGGUACUUCUUCCGCCCAGUAUUUUUUUAUAAAAUCCAAAAUAAUUCCUCGUUGAUUUUCACGGCUUUUGGAGUUGCGCAGAAUAGGUAUCUCAAACUUGCUCCCUUUUCAGACCAGAAUUCCAACUGCCGGCAUUCUCCCUCUUCAUGUAAACCUUAUAAAAUAAGAGAGAAAAGACAUAAGUAUUCUACCGUAAUGUGUAAUAACAGUCCAUAAAGCGAUAAAUAUCAACAUAAAGGCAUGAUGCAAAAUGGACGUAUCAGUGGGCUGUCCCUUCUUACUUAUAUAUAGACGCAGAGGAUGUCCAAGGCUUGGAGGACAACCUUAUAGCUGCCCCUAUGCCUUGCCUGCGAGGCUAUAGUGGGUGAGCCCACUAUAUGGGGCCCAUUUAGCCCAUGAGGCUACUCCCACUUCUGCUAGCCAAGGGUAUCAACCCGUAGGGUCUUUUAGAUCUUUUCGGGAGAUUUUGGAGUAUUUCAAAAUCUUCCCAAACUUUUUGGUGUCUUUUAGGUUCUUUGGGACCUUCUUGGUUAUCCAAUAUAUUUUCCAAAAGCUAACGCCCACACAUGUGGGCGUUUGCAAUUUGCCCACACGUCUUCAUUAUUAUUUAUUUUGCCACGUCAAAACAGAUAACAUCAACGGAAAUCUUUUUUGGGUUUUGUCUUAAAAAUGUUUUAUCUUUUAAUUAAAAAAUCCAAUUAAAAAUCCGUUUUCACCAUUAAAACCAUCUCGACGAGAUCUUCAAAACUAGAUCUUAUGUUGAUAUGUUCCGAAAAAAUUGUUUUUUGAGCAAGAGUUGCCAAGAUGUUACACCGUAGUUGUCAUAGUGUUUACAUUAAAGUGUCCAUGUCAUGUUCUAUUCAUUUUUUCUUCUAUAUUUAGAGCCACAUGUAUAUUUUUCAACUACUUUUUAUGACAAUUUUAUUAAUUGACCAUGAAAUUUUUAGUAAUUGACCACGAAAAAAUUAAUGCAUUGAUCAUGGCAAUUCUUUACUAAUCCAUCAAAAUUUACUUUUAAAGGUAAAAAAAUAUCCGAAACAUAUCAUGGCAACUUCAGUGUAAACACCAUGGUAAUUCAUGUGCAAUAGACAUAGCAACUUUUAAUUCAAAAAAGUCGUCGAAAUAUAUUGAGUUUCGAAGAUCUCGUCGUGAUGGAUUUAAUGCUGAAAACGGAUCUUUAAUCAGAUUUUUUUAUGUAAGAGAUAAAACAUUUUAAAAACUAGAAAUGAAAAAAAAAAUCUCACAUGCAUGCAUGUGAUGAUGUGGCAUAAUCUCUGUGUUAGAGGCGAGUGGCGGAUGUUGCUUCCACCAUAUGUGUGGACGUUAUUGCGACCCAUUAAUUUUUUUUUGUAUUUUUUCUCUAGAACAUUUUCGAUAUUUUCCAAACUUUUAGGUCUAUUUCUCUCGUACUCCUAAUACUUUUAGUACUCACAAAUUGAUGUCAAUAAGCGUGUAACCCUAUAAAUUAGGUAAUGUGCAUACGUGAACCGGAACUCCUUCCUGUCAAAAAUCAAUAGCGGACCAGACAUCCAAAUUAACUCCUACGCAUACACGAACAUAGAUGCAGUGAAUGUUUGUCCAAGUGCGUCCCUUACAAUAGAAAUCAUUCCUUAAUAUCCACAAACUCUAGCUCAAACAAGGUUAAGGAGACGUUUGCUUUUGAGCAAGACCGGACCUUGUUCCACACAUAGAGUUUCUUUCAGGGUUACACACAUAACUACGUAAGAGACCUCCUAAUCCACACGAUAUAGCCGACCCAGUACAGGACGGUGGCGCCAUAUUUUACAUUUAUUUUAUCAUUUGGUUUCCAUUAUCUUUUUUUACUACUAACACAAAUGCCCAUGCAUUGCAACGGAAAGAUAUAAAACAUUACGGCAUAUUCGCGACAACAUUUACAUUGGUAUCUCAUCUAUGACAUAAUCAUUACAUAAGCAGUGUGUUGUACAUCUCCACUCCAUGUCGAGAUCAGGCAUCAUGAUAUCUUUUCCAAAAAUAAUAGUACACAUCCUUACCCCAAUAGGCAUGGCUCGAGGACCCUCUCUCCACUGGUCCACGUCUUCAAUUUCAACACGUCACUUAUCCCCCAUCUCAUCUUGUCAACGGUGGCUUACGGAUGUUAAAUAACAACUACGAAAUUAUUUAGAGACCUCUAUUUACAACCCAUCUCACAUCAUAAUGAUAUAGAAUAAAUUAUACACUGUAAUUUGAAGUAUAGAUUAGACUGAUGCAUCAAAUAUGAUAUACAUCUGAAGUCUGAAUUGUUCCCCUUUUAAGACAUCCAAGAACAUUCGGUAGACAUUUUAGUUCCAAAGCCCAAGACCAAUUGUCAAUCAUGAAACCUAAGAAACGGGAUCAAGGAGUCAAUAUUGAACCUCAAGUCAAAAGAUGAAACAUUAUGGUACAUACAUGUAGCUCUGGAGACCUCUGUACCUUGAUGUAGUGCACUGUGGCAUCACAUGAAGCCACUGAGUUGCCAACAAACUCAAAAGUACUCCCUCCAUUCCUAAAUAUAUGUCUUUCUAGAAAUUUUAUUUGGGGACUACAUACAAAACAAAGUGAAUGAAUCUAUACUAUAAAAUAUGUCUAUAUACAUUCGUAUGUAGUCUUUUAAUGAAAUCUCUAAAAAGACUUAUAUUUAGGAACGGAGGGAGUAGAUCCCAGACGAAUCCCUAGCAUCACCUGUAAAUCGAACCGUUUUUUUUCAUGGGGUGUAUAUGUUACAACACCACAACAACACACACUCUGCAAUGUUAGUUGAAUCGUGCAUCCAUAUUUUACGGAGGCAGCGAGGUGCUCGUCCACGGCUAGCCGUCGAUGGCAUCCAGUGUGUGACUGCAUCCACGACAAGUCGUUCCGAUGACCACAACAUCAACAUCCUUUUCUCUUUCCCUGUCUUCUCUUGGGUACCAUCAUCGGUGGACGGUGAGAAGGACUAACGCAUUCACGACCUAGUUGCCUAGCUACAGAACUUGAGGUCAUGGCUUAAAGCACUUGCACGGAACAGGCACAACACACAUAUUAUAGACGUGGAACAGAAAAUCCAUAACUUAGUUCUUAUAGCAUGUAAAAUAUCUUCGCUUGGUUGUAGCUUUUACCAAAUCACCCAAAGAAUGGGCACCGGAUUGCAGCGUGAGUGUAGAUUAGCAUUCAUUUUAAGUGGUUUGUUUGGAUUUGAAGGUAUGGUUUGUUUGGAUUCCAGUCUUAGCAUUCUAAAAAAUAUAUCUUAAAACCCAUUGUUAUCCCUCAAAAAAAUCUCAGUGUAAUGAAAAUCUAUAAAAGAAAAGGUAUGCAUCUAGGAACAUGCAGUGUCCCUUCUGAAUAAUCAUUAGAUCACUAAACUGUUAACACAAGGAUGUAAGUGCAGAGAGAGAAGGACAUGAUCAGCAAUGGAAAAGCAAAAUUUGCACAUAGUAAAUAACCUUAUAUAGUUAACUCUCCAGUCUCCGUGGAGCUUACUAUGUGCAAAUUGAGGGAUAUCUUGAAAAGUUGUACAAAUAUACAAAUGCAGUUUCUGAACUUACUCUAAUAAUGAACAUACAAACUAAUAAUUAAGUAGGAGGAUAGUUGUGUAGUUCAUUUAUGUUCUGAGGGAUAAUGCUCAUUUCUAUAGGAAAAUAAUCUUAUAUUUCUAACUGAACUAUAAUCCCAUGUAGGUAUGGUUGUAGAACAAAGAACAUAUUACAUAUUGAUAUAAUCCCUUCUUCUUCCUCACAGAACUAAAUAAAAGAACACACAUGAGUAAAAUUAUAAUAACUGAAUAAAAGAACACACAUGAGUAACUUAAAUUAUGAAUUGGACAUAAACUUUUUCAUGGUUGCCUAGCAAAUGAAAAUAGCACCUUGUCAUAUAUUGGGUCUUCAAUAGAAUCAAAACAUGGUCAGAGUGCUCCUGAGAUUUAUGGUUUUUGAACUAUGUUCCUUGACAACAUGCCCCCUCUUUGCUUAUUGAUGGAUCAGAUAGGCAAUCAAAUCCUAAGUUCUUUUUUACUUUCAUUUUGCAAUUUAAUAUAUGCAGCAGGACAUUGUGGUACUAAAAUUUUCAUUAAAGUAGCUACAAAAGGCCCCUAGUCAACAUACUAAAACCAUGGGCAAUGUUUUCUGAAUGCGUGAAAUGUUACAAUGUUGGCAAACAAUUCUGAAUUAUAGUUCCCCAAAACUGACAUGUUUCUAUCAACAUCUCAAACCUGGUGGACUUGAUGCCUAAGAUUCCCUACCGGAUAUAAUUGAAUAACUAAAAAGGAAAAAAAUAAGCUCCUAUAUUCAACAAUAUAAAGCUAGCAUAGUUGGCAUCCCAAAUUAAAGAAUCAUUUUGCAUCAUGGAAAGGAUAAUAUCAACAAGUGUUGUGCAGGUCAAAUUACCACGCAACAAGACCAUGAUAUGCAUUGACAGGUAUCCAUUAGAAUCUCAGGUGCAUCAUACAAUGUUGUAUUAUCGAAUAUCACCAUGUGGUUGAAAAUAGCCUGGGAGUUUUGAAGUGUUGCUGAAGAUUCCUCACAAAGGUCAAACCGAGUUAGCAGUUACCUCUAUGUAACCCCGUUUUAUAUUACCAAAAGGAUGAAAGUAAUUUAAGACAUGUGAAGUAAACCAAGAGGCGGCAGAGAAGACAUGUAUGUGUGUACAUGCAGAUGAUUGUCAAGAUUAGAUCACACAAAUGGUGUCCUCACCGGCCGUGCAGAGGAGGGCAUGGGCGGAGGAGCCGGUUUCCCUGGACAACACACGCUCGGCAGUCGGGGCAGCGCCUGGCCGGACCAUCUCUAGAAGAUGUAGGGAGAUGGGGAGCGGCAGCGGCAGCGGGGCAGGCCUAUUUUCUUGGAUUUAGCACUCGAUGUGGGGCAUCGAGGAGCACAGGUCGCUGCAACUUUAGCUCGUGGAGGGCCUAGGUGGGGAAGGCACCGCCGGGGCAGCCCAUGAUAAGGAGAUGGGGAGAAGCAGGGAGGCAGGGCUGUCCUGGAUCGGCUGCUUGUCGUUGGCGUCUUGGAGCAUGGGCCGCCGGAUCUUGAGCCUAUGAAGGUCGGGGCGGUCGGGGAGCCAGCGGAGAGAUGGUUCGGCCACACCUUGAGAUGCGAGGAUGCACAUCCGUCCAUGGCCGUCGCUGGCGUCGCAACAUAGGGCGCUGAUGGGCCAUGGAGCGUCACCGCCGGCCUCCACUAUGCGCCGCCGCGUUGGAUCCCGACCUGACCCGGCUCGCAGCGGUGUUCAUCGCUUCCCUGCCAUUCCCCGCCUCGAGGAGCCCCGCCGCCGUCGUCCUGCGUCAUCUCCCGAGUGGAUCGGAAGCGACACCGCUGGAUCUGCAGCCCAACGUGCACACAAGGAUGACGAAAGGAUAAAUCGAACCCUUUUUCUCCCCUCACCAUGGACUCGGGUUAAUUAUCAUAAAGUAGGAGGGCUUUUUUUUUAAAACGACGGCGACGGAUUUUCCGACAGAAGCGAUAGCCUCUUUAUUAUUAGGUAAAGAUUUAAGUUUAUACAAAAAUAGAAAAAUGAUCCUACAUAUCAAAAUAUGUUACAACAUUCAAAGAAUGUUCGCGAAACCAAAACAUGCUCGUGAAAUAAAAAAUGUUUAGCAUUUCAAAAUAUUCCCAAAAUUAGUUCCAAAAAGAUCACUAAUUUAAAGCAUGAUCACGAAUUUGAAAACCAAAACAUGCUCGUGAAAUAAAAAAUGUUUCGCAUUUCAAAAUAUUCCCAAAAUUAGUUCAAAAAAGUUCACUAAUUUAAAGCAUGAUCACGAAUUUGAAACAAUGAUCCAAAUUAAACAUGUCCACAAAAUAAAUAAAACAAUUUCGACUUCAAAAAAAUGUUCACAAAUUUUAAAAGUUGUUCUCUGAUUAAUAAAAAUUUCAAAAAAUCUAAUAAAGUUAAUGAAUUCAAAAAUUACUGCCAAUUCUUUAAAUGUUAGUUAAUGUAAAAACAAUCUUUUUUUAAUUUCAUGAAUUCAAAAACUAUUUUCAUAUUUCAAAAAAGUAUACAAAUUAGAAAAAAAAAUAUGUGAAUUUGAAAAAAUCACAUAUUUGAGAAAAGAGAACAAAAUGAAAAUAAUAAGUAAAAACAUAAAUAAAAAGAGAAACAUAAAAUAAACAAUACAAAUGAAAAGGAAAAAAAAUGCUUGCGUGCACUGGACGCGUAGCACAUUUUAAAAUUCAAAAAAUGCAGUACAUUUACAGAACAUUAAGAAUGCUGUACAAAAUCAUACUAUAAAAGUUCAAAACAUUGCACGAGAUUGAAAAAUGAAAAUUUUGACGUUAGUAUGAUUAUAGGCCAAAUCUAAUGUCCAAUUAAUGUUAUGUUCCCUCCAUGCGGAAUUGCUUUAAUGAAUGUAUUUAGCACUAAUCUAGCCGAACUAAUAUAUUUUGUCACUCGAAUACAUUCAUUUCAGGGAUAACUAUUUUGUGUGAGCUAUUUUGUUUUUCGAAAAAAAUAAAAAAAAAUUGAACAUUUGUUAAACGUGAUACGGGCAUCCGGUGCACCGGUGGCACCACGAGCACCAAUGCACCAGAUAUAGAUCGUUAUCCAUCAUGAAUAGGAAUCGCCUGCACAUAGAGGUAUCAAUCAUGAAUGCAUCUUGAGUUGAGAAAAGCCCUUUGGGCCUGCGAGACGAGGUGCUCAAUCUAGUGCCUUGCAAGCCAGAUUAAAGGAUGUCCUAUUGGGACAGGUGUUUUGGUUUUCGAAGCAUUUUAUUUCAGAUAAACAGUACCCUAAAAAAAUAACUAAAUGUAUUUAAAAAGUUCUAAAAUAUUUUGUAGAUGUUCGUGUUAGUGUGACAAGCAUGCUUAAAAAAAUCAUGAAAAACAGAGCGGCAGUUUUUCAUCGGUGCAAGAAACUAAUUUGAAGACUGUUGGGGGUGACAUUUUGUGUUCAAUUUGGGUUUUUUUAAUGCAGGUUAAAAUGCUUAACUUUUUACCCAAACAAUUUCCAGUAGCAUUUGGGUGUGACUAAGAACACAUAAAAUUUCUUUUGAGAUUUUUUUGACAAUUCAAAAAUUAUUUUCAUGUGCAGGACCAUAUGCACCCGGGAGCUGGAUUGUCCUCUCCGUCUUAGAGCAUCUCCGACCGCGUCUUCAACAGCCCUCUUUCGCCAUUUUUUUAUGGCCGGCAGGGAAAAAACGACCGAGCUGCGCCCCCCGGAUCCCGUUUUUGGUCGGUUCGGGUCAAAAUUGGCCCCAGCGGUCCCUGGACGAACCUAGCGCGGUGGGGUCGUCCAGGGGCAUCGGCGGAAAGUAUUCUUGGCGUGAAAAAUGAAGGGCCCGCCGAGUCAGCGACUGGGCGCGCGGUUGUCGUCCUUAUCGCCUCGUUUUUCACGAGAAUCAAUGUGAAUGCUGCAUCGUCGGGCAGCUUUUCAUUGAUUCACGAGCGGCACAGUAAAGACGCGACGACACCCGUUUCAACGACGUCCCGUCGGUUCCUGCCAUACAGUCAUACGACGCCACUCCGUAUGCCUGUCCGUCCGCGGCUAUAUAAGGCGACCUCCACCCGCGCGGGGACCGAUCGGCUGGAAAUGCUCUUAUUGCGAAAACCGGUAUCCGGUAACACGAAGAACCACUUUCCUCAGCGUCACAGAUAGAUAUGUGGCCCUACCAAGGACACGCAGAGAUUCCUUUGAUUCUUUUUACAUUAUUUCAGUUGGUGGUCUUGGUCGUCAACUGAUUUUGCCGUGCUGCUUUUGUGUUGAGUGAUGGAAGCGACGAAUCAUUAUUUCAGUUGGUGGUGAUACGAACACAGACACAGUGUGCGUGGUGGUCUUGGUCGUCAACUGAUUUUGCCGUGCUGCUUUUGAAGCGACGAAUCAUCUAUCCCAACUUUCGACUCACUCAUAUACGUAUUCCACGGUAAACAACAACAACGGACACCUUUUGGGCGGAGAUGGCAAGCGCAUCGCCACUCCAUCCGGCGAUCUAGCGAGCGAGCGGCGGGUCGAAAGGGACGGAGCCCCCAACGGACGGCGACCUCCGCCGCGACAACCGCGGCGAAAUCACCAGGAAAUAUGUGUGGGUGGGAGGGCUGCGAUCCUGUGGAACAAAUUCAUUCGGAAUCUACCGCACCCACCCAGGGACCGCACCACACGCGUGCGUGGCAGUGUCCCGUGGCAAGGCCACCUGGUUUUUGUUUGUGAUGGAGACGUCCCACCGGUGACCGCCUGACCGGUCUCGGUAGGCCACCCCCGGCCGUGAUGGUUGCCUGUCUCUGGCUAGCUAGGCUGAGAUGUGUCCAUGGAUUGGAGAUGUAAUUACAGAGUGCGAGUGAUCUUUGCGUUUUGUUCGUACCGUACGUGAACCCUACCAUGACGGUAAGCUUCGCAGCUGGUGGCGGGGGUUCAGGAGAUGCAUGCCGGAUAGAGAUGGAAGCACGCAGGCGGAGGCCGUGGUGAAUGGAGAUCAAGCUCGUCUUUUGGUGGAGAUGGAUAGAGUGAAGGUAGGAGGGAGGCUGUGAUCUUGACGACGGCUUGACUUGGUCGAGUAGCCGGUUGCACGCGACGACGACAGUGUAGGCUCUGAUCUUUGAUCUUGUUUUUUUAGACUGCAGUGUAACGACGACAAUCUGGUUGCACGCGUCCACUAAUUCUAUUGUUUAUGCGUUGCCUCCUUGCUGGCUGAAGUUUUGUCUUCAAAGAAUGAAACGCAAGAUUUUUAAUUUUUAUUUUGUUAAUACGAUACACACGCAGACGCUCAUCCAUGCACACAUACACUCAUAUCUAUAAACACACAUACAUGACAUAUCCCUAUGAGCACCUUCAAAACACUUAGCCGGCAUAUCAUCUUAAGAUUAAUGAAAUCAUCAAUGACGCCUUCAUACUUGCGAUGAAAACGUCUCCUCUAAUUGAACGCACGACACGAGAAGGUUUGAAAACACGAGCACCGCUGUCAAGUCUAGAAUUUAAACCUUGACAGAUCAAAGAUAUUAUUAUUCUCCUAACCACCCAACCAUAACUGGUUCAUUUUAUUUAACGGGCGUACAUACAAGGAUUCGAAGGAUCAAAACCUCUACAAGAAAUUAUGUGGAUCCCUGGAUGAAGGUAGUGAGUGUGGGCACAGUGGUGAGAGCGUAAUCCUAGAUUAGUACUAUUAGUUGUGACAGGGUGUUGAUCUUUUUCUCCAAGGGAAACAACGUGGCUCUGCUACAUAUUCUUAUUUAUUUUCAAAUAAGUAAAUACAAUAGGGCAAGUGUUCAAAAAGAGCAAAAACAUACUAUACAAAAGAGAGAGAGAGAGAAAACCUUAGAGGAAUAAAGACGACAACAACAACAAAAAUACAGUGGGAACAAGGCCCCAACUACAAACGUGGAAACCCAAUUCUCCAAGUUUGAAUAGCUUUUCCUCUUUUCCUCUUUUCCUCUUUGCCGUGAGAACUAAUCACUUGAGCUAUGUCUUAAAUUUUCUUUGGCAAGCAUAAAGACUAAGGGUGACUCCCUUGAAAAUCAAGUCAUUGCAAGUGGUCCAAAUGGCCCAAGAAGCCAGGAUGAUGAGCUCCAAGGAAUAAUGCAACCCGAUAUUAGUUUUCAAAGUAAUUACCAGUUUGGAUGCCUUGAUGCUAUGGGGUCUAGGUGGGACUAAUAUAUGACGAGCAGAUGCAUGCAAAAGGGCAGUGAAAGAAGAGAUGAUAUCUUGUUUGAAGCUCAUGAUUGCUGCAAAGAACAUGAAUAAUCCUCAAUGAAGAAGUUCUUGCAUUGCAACACGACCCUAGUAUUAAGCCUAUUAUUGAUGAGCAACCGAAAAAAAUUCUUAUACUUGAGCUAGUAACAGGUCUGCCAAACCCAUUCGAUGAGGGGGAGAACCUCAUACUCCCCCAUGAGGAAUUUGCAAAUGUUGGACACUUUGUAGCUCGUUGCACUUGAAAGGCAGAACCAUAAAUCCUAGUCUACAUGGAUUCCCACUUCUGUAAUGAGGAGCAAAUUCAUUAAACUCUGCAAAUGCUUCUUCAGAUAAAGGUAGGUGAAAGUGUUGUAGCAAAUCAUUUAAUUAGACUCCAAAUUUGGCUAAUGGAAGCUUUAUCAUUCUUGGAGAAGGAGAACAUAUGUGGCCGUUCUUGCAUAUAAGGCAAACCAUUCGAUUUAUUAUUCCAGAACUGAAUAGGGUACCAUUAGCUACAAUACAGUUGACAUGUUUUUUAUAAAGAUGCAGAAAUUUGAGGUAGUCUCUCCACUAGAAAGAAGCAAUUGUGAUGUGCUCAGUAGGUAGUCUACUUGCAUAAUAUGCUUCCAAAACAAGGCGAACCCAAGGUAUAUCGUGGAGGUUGAUAAAAUUGUGAAGCAUUUUCAUCAACUAUUUUUCUGCAGUUGAAGGUUGAGAAUCCCUAAGACACCUUGAUCUUUAGGUAUAUAGAUUAGAUCCUAUGUACUAAAGGGGGGCGGCGGGGGGGGGGGUCGUUUUUCGUCCAAAUCCUUGCCCCUCCAAAACAAGUGCCUUUUAUAUCCAUCCACCUAAGAAAGAAUGCAUUUGUAUAGCAACAUAUAACUCAUGAGAGAAAUGGGCAUGAUGAUAAGAAUGCAUUGACCAUCAACAAUUUCUCAUCAUAGUUUAAAUAGUCAUAUCACACAUUUAGUCGCCUUUGAAUUCUGUCAGUAAUAUACAGGAAGUGCUCUAAUCUAGACUUGGUAAUUCUUAAAGGGCCCUCGAGAUAUGUGAAAGGGAACUGAUCCACUGAGAACCCAAGAAUUAUUGAGAGAGCUUGCACUUCCUCUUCCAUCACAUUGAUUGGAAUUAAGUUGGAUCAUAAUUAACCUUGAGCCCCGAAACUUUGUAAAAGGCGUCAGUGAGUAAUUUGUAAAAGGCAAAGUUAAUAGGUUUCUGUAGUAUGCUCCUCUAGAUGGCAGCAUUUAGGAUAGUUUGGAAAAAGUCUACACACAGAACAAAUAGAUGAGAAGAAAGGGGGUCACCUUGUCUUACUCCUCUCCUGCAUUUGAAAGAAUUCCCUAGCACACCAUUGAAUACGACAACAAAUGUAGCUGAAUUAAAAAAAUGGAGAUCCGGCCACACCGUUUAGCUCCAAAUCCCUUAUGUUGCAUGAUAGCCAAAAUAAUGCCAUGCUCUAUUUUAUCAAAAGCCUUUUCAAAAUCAAGUUUACGUAUCACAAUAUGUAUUUUUCUCUUGUGACAUUGGAAGAGGAAUUCAUAUGCCCAUGCAAUGCAAUCAUGAAUGGACCUUGACUUUAUAAACCCAUAUUGGUUAACAUGUAUCACUUCCAUAAUCAUAGAGUGAAGCCUAUUAGCCAGCAACUUUGUCAAGAUUUUGAUUGUGCAACUUAGUAAGGAGAUUGGUGAUGUCCUCCAAGGGCACAUGGCUAUUGCAUUUCGUGAUAAGUAAGUGUAGAAUCCCACACGGAGAAAAUAUGAAGACACUAAUAACCCCGUAGAUACGUUGCCAACACCGCCAUGUUCGCUCCCAAAACGUAGUUUGGAAAUAGUAUAUUUUAUCGGUUGUUAGAAAAACGAGAAUAAAAGAGGUUUUUACUAAUCUACAAGUUAGAAUGUGAAAAUAAACUAAGUCAAUAAAAGAGGGUGGCUGGACGGAGUUGUUGUGGAUGGUGCCUGCUCGCUGAAGAUUGUGGCUAGGGCAGGAGGAGUUUAUAUAAGAGGCCUGUUCGGGUCUCCUUUGUUGAUGUGGAUCCUCCUAGUCCAUCCAAAGGACCAAGACACACCUUAUCCUCUCCCAAACCCUUCCUUAUAAACCAAGGAUGCCGGAACAAUUGGGGACGAAAUCAGUGAAGAAUCUAGUCUGGAGAGGCAACUUUUGGAGCUGUUUGGAUGUCAUACGAGCGGUUGCGGUCGCAUAGAACACCAUCUUUUUUUCGACCUUCUCCCGUGAAAUGGUCGCCAUUUCUUCAUAUGAACUCUGAAUUUGAUGUUCUUGGGUUUGUUGGAUUUGUAUGAACGACGCCAAUCCAUUACUGGUCUUACGUAUUUAUUUAGAUCAUUUUGGAAAAAAUCACUUUUUCGACCUCUGAAAUGGCUAAGUCUGACCCGUGGGUGACUUCGUAUUGAACCCAUCCUUGGUACUUUCAUCAUGCUUGGUCCUAGGUUACUCCAUAACACCUAUAGACACAAGAAAACAAAGAAAAGAAAUAAAAACAAAAUAAAGUACUAAAUAUGUAAUGCUCACAAGUAAAAGUGUAAAUACCGGUAAUCAUGCAUGAUAGAUAACUAUCUCGUUCACUGGGACAUGUUAUAUAAAGAGAACAUGCAACAAAUGAGCUCCAAAAAUGUGUAAAUAUAGAGCCAUCAACCUCCCCAUGAUUAAACCUUGCUUGUCCUCGAGUAAGAAGGUUGAAUAUUAAAAGCGCAUUGCAACCAACUCUAAAGCAUACAUAGAACCAGACCCCACAAGUGAUAUCCAUGUUCAUCAUGCAAGCAUGCAAAAGUUAACUAGUAAGGGAGUAAUACAAGCUAUCCUCUUAGUUUGAUUGCCAUGAAGGUUGAGAAAGAGGAAAAUACUUUUAUGGACCCUGAAUUCCUGUUGACAAAGGUUUAGAGAAGGUCAAUAUUAUGUUAUGAACACAACAAUGACAAUGAUAGACAAAAUAAAUCAAGCAUUAGUGAUCGCUUCAACAAAACCAAUUCGAGGCAUACCAUGUACAAUAGUGAUACUUGUAAACUCCGUUGAGAUUUUCCCCGAAGAGGAGAGGAGAUGCAACACACUAGAGAUAAGUAUUUCCUUCAGUGAGAACCAAGGUUAUCGAACCAAUAGGAGUAUUAAGAAAACCCUCAUCGUGAGCAUCUACACAAAGAGGACCAAACAGUUGCACCCAACACAAGCAAGAGGGUUGUCAAGCCCCUUGAACUCGUUACUUGCAAGGAUUAAAUAUGAUAGAUAGAUAAUAUAAAUAUAAUAACUAAAUGCAAAUAAUAAAAGGCAGUGAGGUAUUUUUAGGGUUUUAGUAUUUAUGUUUAAGUAGAUUCGGGUGGGCAUAGCUUUCACUAGAGGCUUCUCUCUUGAAAAUAACAUACGGUUGGUAGACAAAUCACUGUUGGGCAAGUGGUAGAAUACACAUAGUUAUGACAUAUUAUUCAUGACAAUGAUCAUGUAUAUAGGCAUCACGUCCAUAAAUAAGUAGACCGAUUCCUGCGUGCAUCUAUUACUAUUACUCCACUCAUCGAGUGUUUCCAAUAUGCAACUAGACUGCAUCUAUUACUAUUAAUCCACUCAUCGACCACUAUCCGACAUGCAUCUAGAGUAUUAAGUAUGAAACAGAGUAAUGCUUUCCAAGUUUCACUCGGAGGGACGUAGUGACAUUCGGAUUUGAGCGGUUGCGCAGGGGGCGAAGGAUGGGGUGGCGCCGCCGUCGAUUGGGAUGAAGAGUUAGAGGAGGGGCGUCGGGUGGAGGGCGCGGUACAGGCGAUGGAAGGGCGGGGAGGAGCGGACGACGCACAACCAUGCGUAGCAGGUGAGCGCGACGCUAAUGAGAGCAUGGAGGUCCAGGAGGUGGAGAAAGUUCUCGUGAAGAUCGUCUUUGCGGAGGGACAAUAUGGUGGUGGUGCUAGCGGCGACAUCGGCGACGACGGUGGAGGUGGAGGUGGUUGGUAUGGUGGUGGUGGUUGUGAUUGUAGUGGUGCCAUCAAUAGAGAUGGAGGUGGUUUUGGUUGUGGUGCUGGUGAUUCGUUGGCAGGGGUAGUGGUGUUGGUGGUGGACGGGGUGGAUGAGGGUUUUGCUAGAGGCGUCGCCGUCGUUGCCGGCAUAAGUUGACUCGUCGUUGCUCGAGUGGAAGGAGUCAAUGGAGUGAGUGAGGUGGGCCAAAUAUGUGUUACAUUUCGUGCUUUGGGAUCAUGUACGUAAAUAUUACACGGGCGAUGAUAAGUCGGUUGACCGACCGAAAUUGUUGCACGGCCGUGCGAUUGGGAUCCCCUGCACCGUGUGAUCAGUUCCUCUCUUCCUCAAAAUCUCAUGAUCGCAGCAUUGAAAAAAACACAGCAUGGUCGCCUGAUGUCAGUUGUGCUUCCCUAGCAACGACGCCAAGAAUAGUCGUGUCGACGGCACCAGGAAUCCUUCUAUUGCGGCUACGCCUUAAGGGACUUCCUAGGCAAAUAUGCAAAGGAUUUCCCCCGUGGCCUUGGAGCCUUGCGUUGGUGUUCCCUCGAAGCGGAAAGGGUGAUGUAGCACAGUGGUGGUACGUAUUUCCCUCAGUUUGAGAACCAAGGUAUCAAUCCAGUGGAGGAGUAUCACAAGAUCCUGCACAAACACAAAGAACCUGCUCCCAACGCUAUGAAGGGGUUGUCAAUCCCUUGUAGAUUGUUUGCCAAGUGAGAACUGAAAGCAACAAAGUAACAAAUCAAAGUAAAAGCGGAGGUGUAAAUGAUGGAUGUGAAUAGACCUGGGGCCGUAGUGUUUACUAGUGGCUUCUCUCAUGAAAGCAAGUAGACGGUGGGUAAACAAAUUACUGUCGAGCAAUUGAUAGAACCACGCAAAGUCGUGACGAUAUCUAUGGCAAUGAUUAUAUCUAUAGGCAUCACGUCCAAAACAAGUAGACCGAUACUUUCUGCAUCUACUACUAUUACUCCACACGUCGACCGCUAUCCAGCAUGCAUCUAGUGUAUUAAGUCCAAAAGAACAGAGUAACGCCUUAAGCAAGAUAACAUGAUGUAGACGGACAAUCUCAUAUCAACGAGAGAGCCCAUCUUGUUACCCUUGAUGGCAACUACUUAAUGUGUGCCUUGCUGCUCCUACUGUCACUGGGAAAGGUCACCACAUGGUAGAACCCAAAACCAAGCACUUCUCCCAUUGCAAGAAUCAUAGAUCUAGUUGGCCAAACAAAACCCAAGACUCGGAGAGACUUACAAGGAUAUCAAAUCAUGCAUAAAAGAAAUCAACAAAGACUCAAAUAUAUAUCAUAGAUAAUCUGAUCACAAAUCCACAAUUCAUCGGAUCUCGACAAACACACCGUCAAAGAAAAUUACAUCAGAUAGAUCUCCAUGAAGAUCAUGGAGAACUUUGUAUUGAAGAUCCAAGAGAGAGAAGAAGCCAUCUAGCUACUAACUAUGGACCCGUAGGUCUGAAGUGAACUACUCACGAGUCAUUGGAGGGGCGAUGAUGAUGAUGAAGAAGCCCUCCAACUCCAAAGUCCCCUCCGGCAGGGUGCCGGGAAGGGUCUCCAGAUGAGAUCUCACAGAAACGGAAGCUUGCGGCGGCGGAAAAGUAUUUUCGAGGCUCCCCUGAUUUUUUGCUGUAUUUUAGGGAAUAUAUAGGCCAAGGAUCUAUGUCAGGGGGCGGCCAGGGAGGCCACAAGCCCUGCCACCGCCGCCUCCCCCUGGUGGCGGAGUGGGAGCUUGUGGGCUCCCUGGAGCCCACAUGGCUUGGCCCAUAGGCCCCCUGAUCUUCUUUCGUUCGGGAAAAAAAUCAUUCCGGGUUUUUUAUCCCGUUUGGACUCCGUUCCAAAAUCAGAUCUGAAAAGAGCCAAAAACACAGAAAAAACAGGAACUGGCACUUGGCACUGAAUUAAUAAGUUACUCCCAAAAAAUAUAUAUAAGGUACAUAAAACAUCCAAAGAUGACAAGAUAACAGCGUGAAACCAUCAAAAAUUAUAGAUACGUUUGAGACGUAUCAAGCAUCCCCAAGCUUAACUCCUUCUCGUCCUCGAGUAGGGAAGUGAUAAAGAAUGAAUUUUUGAUGCUUUCAUGCUACCUAGCAUAGAUGUCCUUUGGAACUCCUCUUAUGUGACGUGAAUGUUCAGAUCCAUUAGAUUCAAAACAAUAGUUUUCUAUUGACGUGGAAACAAUAAUAAUUCAAGCAAACUAGCAAGGUAAUCAUGGUCUUUCAAAAUAACAAGGCCAAAAGAAAGUUAUCCCUACAAAAGCAUAUAGUCUGGCUAUGCUCUAUCAUCAUUGCACAACGAAUUUAAAUCAUGCACAACCCCGGUAUUGGCCAAGUAAUUGUUUCACACCUUUACUUUCUCAAACCUUUUCAACUCUCACGAAAUACAUGAGCGUGAGCCAUGGUUAUAGCACUAUAGAUGGUGUGGAAAGUGGUGGAAGUUGCAAGACAAAAAAGGAGAAGAUAGUCACAUUAACUAGGCAUAUCAAUGAGCUGUGGAGAUGCUCAUCAAUAGAUAUCAAUGUUAGUGAGUAGGGAUUGCCAUACAAAUGAUGCACUAGAGCUACGAGUAUGUGAAAGCUCUUAAAGAAAACUAGUGGGUGUGCAUCCAACUUGCUUGCUCACGAAGACCUAAGACAAUUUUGAGGAAGCCUAUCAUUGGAAUAUACAAGCCAAGUUAUAUAAUGAAAAUUUUCCACUAGCUAUAUGGUGGUGACAAAACGAGAGACUCUCAAUCAUGAAGAUCAUGGUGCUUAAUAUGCACAAGUGUGGAAAAAGUGGUAGCAUUGACCCUUCUCUCUUUUUCUCUCAUUUUUUUAUUUUUUUGGUGGGCUCUUUGGCCUUCUUUUUUUCUUUUUUUGGUGGGCUUCUUUGGCCUCUUUUAUUUCCUCACAUGGGACAAUGCUCCAUUAAUGAUGAUCAUCACACUUUCAACUCAAAACUUAGAGCAACUAUGACUCUAUAUGGAAUGUCUUCGGUAGUGUACCGUGGCAGUGAUCUAACAUGGCAUAGACAUCAAUGGAAACAUCAUGCUAGCUCUCUUACGAUCAUGCAAUGGCAAUGUAAACGUGGUGGCACAUGUCAUGGUGGUAGUUGCAUGGCAAUAUAUCUCGGAAUGACUUUGAAAAGGCCAUAGUAGGUAGGUAUGGUGGCUGUUUUGAGGGAGGCUAAUGGUGGGUUUUGUGCACCGGCGAAAGUUGCACGGCACUAAGAACAUAGUGAUGGUGGAAGGUGAAAGUGCAUCUAAACCAUGGACUCAACAUUAGUCAUGAAGAACUCAUAUACUUGUUGCAAAAGUUUUAUUAGUAAUCGAAACAAAGUAUUCAACGCAUACUCCUAGGGGAAGGGUUGGUAGGUAUAAACCAUCGCGCGAUCCCGACCGCCACGCAAAGGAUGACAAUCAAUACACUAAUCAUGCUCAGAUUUCAUCACAUAGCGGUUCACCAUACGUGCCUGCUACGGGAAUCACUAACUUCAACACAAGUAUUUCUAGAUCCACAACACCUUACUAGCAUGACUUCAACAUUACCAUAACCACAACUCAAAACUAAUUGAGAUGAAUCAAACUUCUCUAACUAUUCAAUGCACAUGAAGGUGGAAGUUUUCGUAUCCCUUUGGAUAACUACCCCUUUUGAGACUGCUUUCAAAGUAUAGAUCAACUACCAAGCCACGCACCCUUGUGCUCUAAAAGAUAUAAGUGAAGCACAUAGAGCAAAAGUAUCUAGCUCAAAAGAUAUAAAUGAAGCACAUGUGAGCUGAAUUGUCUACCAAAAGAUAUAAGUAAAGCUUGACAAAAUCACGGUGAGUGCAUGUCUCUCUCUCUAGGUGUGCAGCAAGGAUGAUUGUGACACACACAAAAAAAGACUCCUACGAUACAAGACGUUCCAAGCAAAAACACAUAAUAUGUGGUGAAUAAAAAUAUAGCCCCAAGUAAUGUUACCGAUGGAUUGAAGACGAGAGGGGGGAUGCCUUCCCGGGGCAUCCCCAAGCUUAGGCUUUUACGACAUCCUUGAAUCUCUUGGGGUGCCUUGGGCAUCCCCAAGCUUGAGCUCUUUCCACUCUUUAUCUCUUUGUUCAUAAGAACUUCAUCCAAAACUUGAAAACUUCACAACACGAAACUUAAACAGAAACUCGUGAUAACAUUAGUAUGAGAAAGCAAACCACCACUUCCUUAGGUACUGUAGAAAACUUAAAUUCUACUUGUGCUGAUUUUGGGUUACUGUAUUUUCAAUCUUCCAUGGCUAAUACCCCCCGAUACUAUCCAUAGUUUCAUCAAAAUAAGCAACCAACACAACAACAAUAGAAUCUGUUAACAGCAGACCAGUCUGUAGCAAUCUGUAUAUUUCUUAUACCUCUGGUACUCCAAAAAUUCUGAAAAAUUACGACAGUCUUAAUAAUUUGCGUAGAAAUCAGCGUAAAAAACAAUCAACUCAAAAUCUCUUACAGAAAAAAAAUGAAAAUGCUUUUGGUGAGCAGAAAGUUUCUGUCUUUUCCAGCAUGACCAAACGAUCAUCCCCAAGACUAAUCAUAACGGUUUUGCUUGGCACAAACGCAAAAAGAAACACAAAAAACACAAUCAUAACAUAAUUAUGAAAGUGUGGAAAACACAAAACAGAAAGAAAAAGGAUAGAUUCGUUGGGUUGCCUCCCAACAAGCGCUUUUGUUUAAUGCCCUUAGCUAGGCGAAAGGUGAUGGAAUCACGUAUAGUCAUCUUUGGUGCUCAAACCAUAAGUAGCCCUCAUCAUAGAUUCAUAAAGCAAUCUUAUUUUCUUUCUAGGAAAGUGCUCCAUGCCCUUCUUCAAAGGAAAUUGAAAUCUAAUAUUCCCUUCCUUCAUAUCGAUGAUAGCACCAAUAGUCCUUAGGACAGGUCUACCAAGAAUAAUGGGACAUGAAGGAUUGCAAUCUAUGUCAAGUACAAUGAAAUCCACGGGUACAUAGUUCUUAUUUGCAACAAUAACAACAUCAUCGAUCCUUCCCAUGGUUUUCUCGACAGUACAAUCCGCAAGAUGCAAAUUAAGAGACCACUCUUCAAUCUCAUGAAAACAAAGAAUAUCACAUAAAGACUUUGGAAUCGCGGAAACACUAGCACCCAAAUCACACAAAGCAUUGCAAUCAUAGUUUUUGAUCUUGAUUUUGAUAGUAGGUUCCCACUAAUCAUGAAGUUUUCUAGGUAUAGAGACUUCUAGUUCGAGCUUCUCUUGAAGAGAUUACAUCAUAGCAUCUACGAUAUGCGCGGUAAAGGCUUUGCUUUGGCUAUAAGCAUGUGGUGAGUUUGCAAUGGAUUGCAUCAAAGAAAUGCAUUCAAACAAGGAGCAAUUAUCAUAAUUGAAUUCCUUGAAAUCCAAAGUGGGAGUUCCAUUACUACCCAAAAUUUUGACUUCUUCUACUCCACUCUCCACACCUUUAUCAUCAAGAUAGGUGGACUCCGAAUCAUUGGGACGUUUUUCAACCAAAGUGGAUUCAUAUCCAGCCCCUCCAUAAAUAGGUUUGACACGCGAAAACAAAGUUUAAGAGGAGACACACCAAGCACUUUAAGAUCUUUGUGAUUUGCAUCACUAGAACGCACCCUUUUAAACCAUUCAUGCCUAGCGCGAAUUUGGGCGGUUCUUUCUUUGCUCUCAUUCAUGGAGACACGCAUAGCUUUCAAAGUUUCAUCCAAGUUGACCUUGGGAGUAGCGCAUCUAACUUUCAAAGCAUCAAUAUCACAAGACAUCCUAUCAACGCUCUUAGCCAAAUCGUCUAUUUUGAGUAGUUUUUCCUCUAUGGACGCAUUGCAAAUCUUUUGAGAGUUGAUGAACUCUUUGAUAUUACUCUCUAAAUCAUAGGAUAAUUUGUUGUGAUUUCCAUAAGUGUUGUUGUAGGAAUUGCCAUAAUUGUUAGAGGAGUCACUAGGAAAAGGCCUAGGAACAUAGUUUCCUCUAAAAGUAUUGUUGUUGCCAAAAUUGUCCCUACCAACAAAAUUCACGUCCAAACUAGCGUUGCUACUCUCAAUCAAGGAAGAUAGCGGCAUGUCAUUAGGAUCUACGGUAGCAUUUAUACUAGCAACCAAAUUCAUCAACUCGUCCAUCUUAGCACUAAGCGAGUUAAUUUUUUCUAUAGCGUGCACCUUUUUGCUAGCAGGCGACCUUUCAGUGUGCCACUGAGAGUAGUUGGUCAUGAUAUUGUCUAGGAGUUUUGUAGCGUCUCCUAACGUGAUUUCCAUGAACGUUCCACCUGAGGCGGAGUCCAAGAUAUUGCGAGAAUCAAAAUUCAAGCCAACGUAAAAGAUUUGUAUAAUCAUCCACAAACUCAAGCCAUGAGCGAGACAAUUUAGAAUCAUAAGCUUCAUCCUCUCCCAAGAUUGUGCAACGUGUUCAUGAUCAAGUUGCUUGAAAUUCAUGAUAUCGUUACGUAAGGAGAUGAUCUUAGCCGGCGGAAAAUACUUGGAUAUGUAAGCAUCUUUGCACUUAUCCCAAGAAUCGAUACUAUUUUUAGGUAAAUAAGAAAACCAAGUUUUUGCGCGAUCCCGCAAUGAGAAAGGAAAAAGUUUCAACUUAAUCAUGUCAUUAUCCACAUCUCUUUUAUUUUGCAUAUCACAAAGCUCAAUGAAGGUAUUGAGAUGGGAUACGACAUCUUCACUAGGAAGGCCAGAGAAUUGCUCUUUCAUAACAAGAUUCAACAAAGAUGCGUUGAUUUCAUACGAUUCCGCACUAGUGGCGGGAGCAAUCGGAGUACUAAUAAAAUCAUUAUUAUUAGUGCUCGAGAAGUCGCAAAGUUUGAUGUUUUCAGCCAUGAUGACUUCAACAAACAAACAAGCACACAAGCAAGCAAGAAAACCGGCAAUGGAAAACGGCAAAGGCAAAAGAAAACGGCGAAGGAGAAAGGCAAAUGAAAACGGCAAAUGUGAAGUGGGGGAGAGGAAAACGAGAGGCAACUGGCAACAAAAGUAAAUGCAAGAGAUGAGUUUGUGAGACCUACUUAGAUAGAUCUUGAUCUCUCCUCCCCGGCAAUGGCGCCAGAAAUACUUCUGAUGUCAGCUAUGCUUCCCUAGCAACGGCGCCAAGAAUAGUCGUGUCGACGGCACCAGGAAUCCUUCUGCUGCGGCUACGCCUUAAGGGACUUCCUAGGCAAAUAUGAAAAGGAUUUCCCCCGUAGCUUGGAGCCUUGCGUUGGCGUUCCCUCGAAGCAGAAAGGGUGAUGUAGCACAGUGGUGGUAAGUAUUUCCCUCAGUUUGAGAACCAAGGUAUCAAUCUAGUGGAGGGGUAUCACAAGAUCCUGCACAAACACAAAGAACCUGCUCCCAACGCUAUGAAGGGGUUGUCAAUCCCUUAUAGAUUGUUUGCCAAGUGAGAACUGAAAGCAACAAAGUAACAAAGCAAAGUAAAAGCGGAGGUGUAAACGAUGGAUGUGAAUAGACCCGGGGGCCAUAGUGUUUACUAGUGGCUUCUCUCAUGAAAGCAAGUAGACGGUGGGUGAACAAAUUACUGUCGAGCAAUUGAUAGAACCGCGCAAAGUUGUGACGAUAUCUAUGGCAAUGAUUAUAUCUAUAGGCAUCACGUCCAAAACAAGUAGACCGAUACUUUCUGCAUCUACUACUAUUACUCCACACGUCGACCGCUAUCCAGCAUGCAUCUAGUGUAUUAAGUCCAAAAGAACAAAGUAACGCCUUAAUCAAGAUGACAUGAUGUAGACGGACAAUCUCAUAUCAACGAUAGAGCCCGUCUUGUUACCCUUGACGGCAACUACUUAAUAUGUGCCUUGCUGCCCCUACUGUCACUGGGAAAGGUCACCACAUGGUAGAACCCAAAACCAAGCACUUCUCCCAUUGCAAAAAUCAUAGAUCUAGUUGGCCAAACAAAACCCAAGACUCAGAGAGACUUACAAGGAUAUCAAAUCAUGCAUAAAAGAAAUCAACAAAGACUCAAAUAUAUAUCAUAGAUAAUCUGAUCACAAAUCCACAAUUCAUCGGAUCUCGACAAACACACCAUCAAACAAGAUUACAUCGGAUAGAUCUCCAUGAAGAUCAUGGAGAACUUUGUAUUGAAGAUCCAAGAGAGAGAAGAAUCCAUCUAGCUACUAACUACGGACCCGUAGGUCUGAAGUGAACUACUCACGAGUCAUUGGAGGGGCGAUGAUGAUGAUGAAGAAUCCCUUCAACUCCAAAGACCCCUCCGGCAGGGUGCUGGGAAGGGUCUCCAGAUGAGAUCUCACGGAAACGGAAGCUUGCGGCGGCGGAAAAGUACUUUCGAGGCUCCCGUGAUUUUUUGCUGUAUUUUAGGGAAUAUAUAGGCCAAGGAUCUAUGUCAGGGGGCGGCCAGGGAGGCCACAAGCCCUGCCACCGCCGCCUCCCCCUGGUGGCGGAGUGGGAGCUUGUGGGCUCCCUGGAGCCCACCUGGCUUGGCCCAUAGGCCCCCUGAUCUUCUUCCGUUCGGGAAAAAAUCAUUCCGGGUUUUUUAUUCCGUUUGGACUCCGUUCCCAAAUCAGAUCUGAAAAGAGCCAAAAACACAGAAAAAACAGGAACUGGCACUUGGCACUGAAUUAAUAAGUUACUCCCAAAAAAGUAUACAAACACAAACACAAGGAUAUAUAGACACUAUAUAGUUCAUGCAAAUGCCAAGGAAUAAUCCAGGGAACAUGCGAGUUUUUUCUGGCCUUUUUGAUAUUUGGUUUAAAUACCUUUUAACUUGAAAUGUUCGAGAGACAAAGACUAAUGUAUAUUUUCUUACAAAACACGAUUUUAAACUUAACAAGCAAAAAAAAAUUAUGAUUUAUCUUGGGCAAAAAACGAAAAUAAAGAAGAGGUUCUUGCUUCCAAGCAAAACUCGAAUGGGCUGAGACAUUUUAACUAUAUAACGGUCCGAUUAUAAUUAAUAUUUAGCAUUUUUUGAUGUAAUUAAUAUGGCAACCAAAUAUCCCAAAGAUAUAGCAUUUUGAGUAACUGAGUUAUAAAUAAAUAUAAAACGCUUAGUAUCAAUCAUAUUAUGGGCUCAAACCUAAACCAUAUGAUACUUAUGUCAUUGAGGAUCCACAUUGUAUGGAGGAGCACAAGAAAACAAUGGAUUUGAUGUUGUUUAUAUAAAUUAAAGAUGACUUAGACAUCGAUUAUUAUAACAUGGCGACGAUCUGUCAUGGGAAUUACUUCAAACGACUGUGCGGCAGUUUUGGUUGGUAUUGAGGAUGGACCUUCUCUUGAGGUGCUAGUGGUGGUUAGCUAUUUGUGGGAUGUAGCCAACUUGCGACCCCUGUAUUUUGUACUAUAUAUGUAAAUUGGUUUUCACUGAACUAUGAAAUGCAUCCAAAUGCACGAUUCUAUGAAAUAAUAUCCUAAAAAUUAAGAUUGAUGCCGGAGUCUAAGCUAUUGUUUUACUAAAGGAAAUUAAACAUCAAAAUUAAUAUUUCCUAUUUUAAUUUUUUAAUAUCCUAAAAAGAUACAAAAUCUUAAACUCUGGUUACAACAUCCGAGGUAGAAGAGAGAACAACCCCCUCGGGUCUAUUAAAAAAGGCACUAGCCAUUCCAUCAAAAUUGGCACAAAGAAGGAGAUCAACAACACAACGUUGAGCAGCCAGAAAUAGACCUCCAUCAGUCUUCAUCAUCGAUUAUCUUGUUGGUGUCUGCGCAAAAUCAAAAUAGCAUUUGGUGAGGAGUGAACCUUGUAAGAAAUUUCAUCACACCAAAAACUAGCGAUUGAGAUUGUUGAUAUGGUGUGAGUAUUUAAAUAUUCUUUCACCAUCCCCUUAUGCUCAACUUGGAUAUAGAUAGGCUCAUAUAUAUUUCUGGAUAAAGGACAUCUUCAUGCAAUCAAUAUAUUGAGAUGAUACAAAUGCAAUGAGCGAGUGUGUGACCUAUGCAUAACGUGAUGCACACAACCAAUGCAUCCAACGCGAUCAAAAGGAACUGAACAUCUCACACAUAAAUUAAAAAGGCGAGCCAUGCCCUAUCUAAAUAUUAUAUUUCCAUGCUCGAUGUGAGAAAAUCUCCCUAAUAUUAUGAUCCUAUCAGAUAGACGUCAUCAUAAAAAGGUCCCCGGCCACGGCAUGAUAGACCAAGUAUGGAGUCAUCACUCUAAGUGGUUGUUUGGAUUUUGUAUUUUUUUAUUACUGACAUGAACAUUAUUGUAGGCAAUCCCCUCAUAUAAGGACUUGACAGAAAACAUGCAGUUUCUAGUGCAAAUUUCAUCUAUACACGGCUGGUUCAUUUGACAUUUGAGCUCCAAAUGUGUGAAAAAUUCAUUCCACGUUACGAGAUAAGGCCCUAGUUGGUCCAUACAGAAAGAAAUACCAAGAUUUGCUUGUGCCAAGACAUAUGCGGUUAUGAUAAAGUUAUGUCUAACAAUCCAAUAUGUAUCUUAUUAUUGUACCAUGAGUGGUGUCGCCCCCCCCCCCAACCAGGUAUCCUCUCAUAAUCCAAACUGCGAGUCAUCCUUAACCAAGAAAGUAACACACUUGGAGAAUAAUUUCCUGACCUUAAUCAAGCAAGGAAAAAUGUGAAUACUUGGGAUUCAAUGGAGUUGAGAAAUGGCUUUGGAAUCCUCGUACUUGUUACGGAUGAUUUUAUGCCACACUUCAUUCCGGGAUUUUAAAUUCCAUUACUGAGAAGAUCAAUGUUUUUAUCUCAAGAUCAUGGAUUCUAGGACCCCUUGACUUUCACGUCGGCAUAACACAUUCCACCUAGUUAGCUAGUAUUUCUUUGAUUAUUUAUCAUGCUGCUAGAAAAAAUUGUAUUUAAAAUAACCCGGUCUCUAUAGAACACCUUUCAGUAAGGGAAAGAAGGACAACCUGUAUAAACCAUAUUGCUAAGGACGAAAUUGAUCACAACCAAACAACCCAUAAGACAAGAGUUAUGCCGACGUGAAUGUGUUUCUAAGGCAGUUCCCUAUUCGGUGUCUGGUCUUCCAAAUGUAAAUGUGUUUCUCUAGUCUUUGUUCUACAUAUUUCCACACCGUAAUAGUUAGACACGAGUAGUGAAUCGUAAUGCCUGGGUACCAAAUAGGGAACUGUCUGAGCUGGCAUCCGAUGAUCUCAGAAUACUCUGUUCAAACUUUGUGAAAAGGAGCAAUGUGGCUAAGCCUAAUCAUCAUGGCACAAUACGUCGAUCCCUACUUUCCGAGAAAAGAACAAAUUGGGUUUUCAGACAACGACCUUCUCUCGUUUCGUUUUCGGCAGCACAAAAAUAGAUGUUUGCGCAUGGGUGAUCUUUUAAAGAUCUUUUUUAAGAAACCACAUGCAAGGGCAGGAAACAUUUCAUUAAGAAGAAGAGAGUUGGUUCAGUUUAUAAAAAAGAGAUCCAAAAAUAUAACAUUUUCAGCUAACCAUGGAAAACCGAAUAAAAACCUAAAAAGAAAGAUAAAGGAAAAAACAUUAAAAAUCACUAGAUCUUGAGCAUAGGGACAAUACAAAUGCGACAUCAAUGGACAUCGUUAGGGUCACACACCAGAAUGCCUAGGCCCAAAAAACUUAGGUGUGGCUCAAGUGCAACCAAACAGAUCACAACUCAUCGAAGAGAAACUAUCCAUAUCACAUGACUAUGAUGUCUCGGCCUCAAAGUAUCACGUGCGAACAUUAUCAUGUGAAAAACAUCCUGAAAGAUCCAGCUUCGACUUCUCGAUCACUUACGAUGAGACUGUUGACACAUGAACACGUCACGAGUACCCUCGAUGCCGAGGGUGAUGCAUCGCAACUCACGUCGAAGGAGACCCGACCGACAUCGCGAUACGCAAGACAGUCGGCGGAUGCUUUUGAGGACCCAAAACCCCACACGCCCGGGAGGGACCCCGUCAAGGAGUGAGGUGGCUAUGGGCUGCCCUAGGUCGAUUCGCUUGCCCAUAGGGCCUCGGGAUUCGCAGAUCUCAAAUUUGAGGAACAUCAAAGAACGAGAUAUAAAAUACGAUGGAGAGAUAAAACAUAGAUGAAAAAGUAGUAUAUUGAUGUUUUGAUUGUGUGUUGUUUUAAUCGGCCAUCACCUCCAAUAUAUAUAGAGCCGGCUGGACUUCCCGUACAAGCAAAGGAUUCAUCUAGGCUUUCCUUAUAAGAAAAUUACAGCAAAUCACGU